rnacentral:lncRNA from 1 species
AAUUGCUGCUCUGCCUUGAACGAAGCUUGGAUGCCAUAGAUAAAGAAAUCAUCAAGGAAUGUUUCUUAGACUUGGGUUCAUUUCCAGAAGACCAAAGAAUCCCUGUUGCUGCCCUCAUUGAUAUCUGGGCAGAGUUAUAUGAUGUAGAUACAGAUAUAGAGUGCAUUGCAAACCUCUAUGAGCUAACCAAACGUAGUCUAGCUAAUCUUGUUGUUACAAGGUGUGCAUGCUUUGUUUUUUCUUGUAUGAUAUUUUCGCUCUAUUUUCCCCUUUAUACUCACGACUGGUUGAUGCUAAUAACUUGUUAUUGCAUUAUGUUGGUUGAAGAAAUCUCUUCUAAGAAAAUUAGUUUUGAUCAUCACCAGGAAGGACAAUAUGGUGGGGGACGGGUACUACAGUGAGCACUUUGUUACCCAUCAUGAUGUUGUUAGGGAGCUGGCUAUCUACAACACAAAAAAAGGACCAGUAGAACAUAGAAAAAAACUGAUUAUUGACAUAUGUGGAGACAAUCUUCCAAAAUGGUGGAGAGAACAAAAGCAUCAGCCAAUGAAGGCCCGCUUAAUAUCCAUAACAACUGGUUGUUCCAUCGCUCCUUUUCUCUUUAGCAAUUAUGUAGACAUGCACAAAUAAAUAGUUAUUCUUGCUCACACGCACUCGCACGUGCACAUGAAGCCUUAAUAGUACUUUCAUUUAGUUUCUUCUCCAGACACUCACAGUUGUUGCUUUGCAGAUGAAGGGUUUUCAACAAAGUGGCACGACAUGCAAAUGCCAGAAGCUAAGGUUUUAGUAUUGAAUUUCCAGACAAAGAAUUAUGCCUUACCCGAAUCUUUGGUGAACAUGGAUGAAUUGAAGGCUGUGAUAGUCACAAAUUAUGGUUUCUUACCUGCUGAAUUGAGUAACUUUCAACUUUUGAGUUCGUUACCAAAUCUUAAGAGAAUCAGAUUAGAACGCAUCUCAAUUCCUUCUAUAACCAACAAUCCCAAACAAUUGGCGGGUCUGAAGAAGAUAUCCUUGUUCAUGUGUAACAUUGGUCAAGCUUUCAACAACGGUUCCAUCUCAAUCUCAUCAGCAUUCCCAAAUCUAGAGGAAAUGAACAUCGACUAUUGCAGUGAUUUAAUUGAAUUGCCCGUCGAGGUUUGUGAUCUUAAUAAACUAAAGAAGCUCGGUGUCACUAGCUGUCAUAAACUAUCUGCCUUGCCUGAAAGGAUUGGAAAGUUGGAAAAUUUAGAAAUGUUAAGGCUAAGAUCCUGCACAGAACUGUCAAAGCUUCCACCCUCAAUGAAGAACCUGGGAAAGGUAAACUUUCUUGACAUAUCUGAUUGCUUCAACAUCAAGGUGUUGCCCGAAGACAUUGGUGAAAUGAGUAGUUUAAGAAAGAUCAACAUGAGACAAUGUUCAAGGUUGCAAGAGCUGCCUCCAUCAGUCAUGGAUCUUGAGCAGUUAGAGGAAGUGGUCUGUGAUGAAGAGACAAAAUAUUUGUGGGAGUCUUUCUCGUCGUGUCUCAACAACCUGAAGAUUAUUGUGACCAAAGAGAAUAUCAACCUAAAUUGGCUCCACAAGACUCAGUUCUGAGGUAUUCUAAGUUGCAGUUUACUGUAUUCUAGCCGAUAUGCCAUUUAUAUGUUGUUGUUAUUGUUGUUAUCAUUGAUAUUGCAAAGUUAGAAUUGUCAAAAUAUAAUUUGUGAUGCCCAACUGUAAGUGCAGUAUUAGGAUGCAUGAUCCUCACACAAACUCCCCUAAAAGUGUGGUGAACUCUUGUUACAAACUCCCCUAUUGUAAGUGAUGAUUUCGUUCAGGUGUGCAACUGUUGGCUAUGACCAACAGAUUGUUUGUUUUAUGUUAUUAAUAAGCCAUUUGCUUGCGCCGCAAGAAACUGGCCUUCUUCUCAAUGGAUUGUUAUUUUGGAGGGGUUAAAUCCAUAUUUAGAUUCUUUUUAAUGCCGUGAGGACAAGGACUUAAUAAUUUUCUUGUGUUAUGUUGGAACCAAAUGGGGGGACCUCCGGGACCGGCAGUUGAGCACAAAUUCGAGUAAACCUAAGCAACUUGCAAAAUAGUAAAACAACCGUAAGCAAACCUUACCAAAGGUUCUUCAACGGUCAAGUUAGUGAAUGAUCUUUAGACUCAAGCAGUGGACAAGAGAAUUCAAGUGUAUGGAUUGCGUUAAUGUAGAUGAACCUUAGACAGGUGUAUUUAUACCUUCGUUCUAAGCUGGGAGAAUCUUAGGGGGAGAAUCUUAGGGGAUAACUAGUAAGUAGAUAUUACAUCCUCUUAUGAGUUAUAAUUACUUACGGCGCAUGCUUAUCCCUAGAUUGUAGGGACUCCAAGACUAAUAAAAUCUGAUUGUGUCCCUACUCGGAUUAGAUCACAUGUCUUGCAGAACAAGUAUGGUCAUUUAGUGGAGUCGCUAGGACUCUUCUGCCUAUUGCCCUAGAGUAGAGUGAUGGUGGCACCCUACUCCCUCUGAUAGAGCUCCACCCAGGGCUGGUAAGUCUAUGACUGGACUUCUGAGGUAACAGUAUUCGGAUCAGCCUUACUCUAGUCCUGAAAAAUCAUGGUCCCGUAAUUUUCCCUAACAAUCUGUCUGAGAGGCAACAUGUUCCCAUUGAAGAUGGAUUGUUAUCAAAGGCAAUGCCUUUUGGAAUAAGCUGGAAUACAUACCGUUUAAUCUUCAUGAAUGCAAGGUGACCUUUUAACACUAAUGUGGCAGCAUUUCAGAUUCAAACAUGUAUCUUCGUGUAGGUGCCAUAAAGUUCGCAAUGAUGAAACAUUGCGUCUGACUCUUGCGCACGAGAAACGAGAAAUCUUCUUUGAUAUCCCUUGUUUUUCCUAGCCGUUGUUAGAUCUUAAUACAAGUCGGUCUAAAUUCAACGGUUAGAUGACUCCCCCAAAUGAUACCUAUAUAUCCUCGGAUCUUGCUUCUCUCCUCUACCAUAAACUUUCAUUGUCCAAAAAGGCUCCAACUUGUUAUCUGUACCUAUUUCAAUAUCCUCUCUCCCUUUUGAAUCUUUUUUCAUGGCGUCUUCAAGCAAGAAGUCUAAAUUGGUCAAGGUUUCCCCUUAUAAUCUUUCUUUGACGAGAAUUUGUAAUCGAGAAGAGGGUGAGUCAUUUGUUGAAGAGCACCAUGAUAUCUUGUAAGACUGCAACGUUUGGUGGGAAUCGACCACGAUAUCUACGCCGACUUGUCGCCAUUGUCUGACCCAUGUCGCCCUUGCAUUAUAAUCUACCCCUGGUUCUUGGACUUAGGCAUUCGCUUUCCGCUUUCUACUUUCAUGAAAGGCAUUUUAUUGUGCUAUGAUAUAGCAAUUUGUAACCUUUUUCCCACCACCUUCAGGCUUCUUACUUGCUUUGAGUUGCUGAAUAAGUGGUUCAGGGACUGAGUUGGAUAUCCCCAAGUUUAGGUUGUUGUACUGCAUCAGACCGAGUUUGGAUGACCACUAUUAUUUUGCGGUUAGAGCUAGCCUAGCUUGGGAGACAUUCAUUCAGGACAUUCCCUUCCACGACAAGGAAUGAUUCAAAGAUAUACUAGUCGUUGACGGAGCUUGUGAAAGAGAUAUUAGCGGAUUCCAAAUCCGAUCUCGUCUUCCAACUGACCCAGAUUUCAAAGGUGGUCUAUCUGGUAUUAGCAUAUGCCGUCUAGACUUGAUUCGCCGGGCAAUGCAAAUUCUGGCCGUUUCCUGCAAUUAGAAGUGGUUGUUUUCCUCUGAGCACUUCAACAGCCGUGGGAAAGAUAUAGACGCCUUUCACUGUUCUAGAUUCCCUAAAAAGAGUCAGAGUGGGUUGAUGCUCGUAGCGUUCAUAAAAUGUCUCGUUCCUUUAAACCAGCAUCAACUCUGUCACCUAUCCCAAAUAAGCUAAAAUAUCCUGGUAGUUAUUCUUCUCACUCAUUGAUUGCGACUCCUCAGCUCUAGCUGGUUAGGUACAUCCACUGUAAAGGUAUUGGAUAAGAGAAAGAAACCCAUCUUCGAAGAAAGAGACGUAUUACUAUUCCGACGCCACCAACUUUUAAUGUACUUACCCCUGCAUCCGUAAUAGAUGAGGCACCUCUUCGCUACCCUUGCAUUCACCUGCAAUGUUGCCCCGGUCAUCGGAGUCGAAAUCGUCGUGCCUUCUAUUGCCUCGGCGUCAACCUCUGUCCCUCAACUGCUACUUUCUGUAGAUGGAUCUCCCCGUUAUGAUGGUCUUUCGUCAACUGCUGCAUUGAGAGGAAACAACUCAUCCUCCCCUUGUGAUUCGGCCUUCAAUUGAUUGUGUUGCUCUUCUUUCAGAUGCUAGUGGUCUUUAAAAUACGGACUAUGCCCCAGUGCUGCUCAGAGUCGUAAUUGCCCUCGCCGACUUUAAAGAAGAUUGCACCUCUUGAAGACGUCAUGAUACGGUGCUCCGAGAGUCGUUAUGAAGUACCUGACUCCAUUUCCUUCAUUUCUCUUUGUUGAUAUUCAUGAAUUCCCCAUCAUGUACCUUGUAUAUUAUGUUAAUAUGUGGACGAAGGUCGCCUUGUUCUAACAAGUAAGGCGAAUCUAGGAGCUUGAACAGAUUUCGGGCCUUGAAACAGUGGCGAUAAUAGAGGCGGAACAGCGAUUGCUAACCCAAUUAGAAGAACUCAAGAAUGCGCAUGCCAGGUAGCAAGCUUUGGAUUCUGCUCAUGAGGCGGAGUUAAUUCGCUACAUCGACCUGGCUAUUAUUGAAGAUAAAGGCCAAGGAUUACUAGGAAAGUUCUAAAAAGUUCAGAGAAUAGCUAAGGCUGGAGAGACAGGCCAAGGCGGAGUCAGACUAGGCUCUCGUUCCCUCGAAGGGAGAGUCAGAGUGUGCGUUUGCUUCAAAGUGGAAUGCUUGGGCUAGGGAGCGGGAAGCUCUUCAAAAGGAGGUUGAGGAUCUUCACCAAGAGGUCGACCAAAGACAAGAGUCUCAAAUCAAGAUCCAAGAUUCACAUCACGACUUUGGAAUAAGUUACAAGAUGAGCUUGGAACUCGCUUUGAUUUAAGUAUAACUUACCAUCCGCAGAAUGAUGGGCAGUCAGAGCGAGUAAUUCAAGUAUUGGAGGAUAUGCCUCGUACAUGCAUACUUGAUUAGGAAAUGAACAGGCUUAGAAAUCGAGUUAUGAAAUGUAAAUGACAAUACCAUGGGCCUAAAGAAACAAUCUGACAUUUAGAUAUCCACCUACAUUUGUAGAAUAGUUCACUACUUUGGCAUGAUGGGAAAGUAUCCGCUAUCUGUUUCUUUUCUUAUUCAUGUAAUCAUUGUUAUUCGCUCAAGUUAAAGGAUCAACUGGCCACCCGAUCAUUGACACUCUACAGUUGAAUGUUCAUUGAUUUAAGGAAUAAGAAAUGCAAUAGAUAUGAUGCUAAGAAAAUUUUGCAAAGAUACCCAUAAUUUUCUUGAAAGUUUAUGUGUGUUCAACUAAGUGUUAAAUGUAUUCAGUAUGCUUAAGAUUUCGAACUUCACUUGGAAAUGACAGUCCAGUAAAAGAUGAAAACUCUCGACUUGUUAAGUAAUUCAGUGUUUAAAGUAAAUCUCAAGGACAAGAUUUGUUUUAAGGAGGGUGGAAUGUGAGACCUUGAAAUUUUAGAGGUGUUUUUAUGAACUUUGGAUUACCUACGAAUUUUACAAUUUCUAGUUCCUUUUAAAUGGGUGAUGAUUUUACUUGAGUUCAAAGAUUAUUUUGUGGUAAAAAGAUGAAAGUGGAUGAGAUUACGAGCUCGUGGCAUCUUUUGAAUUAAUUUUCAAAGCUCGAACGAACUUAUAGUGGAACUUUAAAUAUGACAGAUUGGAUAACACCAUGUGGCAACCAAAGAAUGGCUGACUUUGACACAUGGCAGCCACAAGUGAUGGAAUCAGCCACGUGGAGAUCAAUUUGACAGCCACCUUACGCAAGAGAACCUAGGAGCUUAUUCAUGGUUGUAUAUUGAUAAGCUCCACCAUGUUGCUAAUUUAUAAGAAUUAUCAUGAAGCCUUGUUGUCAACUUAGCAUGGCAUGGUGAUGACUAAGCUUUUAAGUUGGAAGGAUUAAGGUGGAGCCAUCAUUAAGGUUAGAUACAAUAGACAAGUGUGUUUGUGACUCAUACUUUUACAAGUAAGAGUUGUCAAAGUAGCAGGAAAGGUUAUCCAAUAUAGAGUUAAUGCUGCCCAUUUCAUCCAAUGAGGAAUAAGAGAUUUCAGAUUAUUUCACCUAUAAAUAGGAGCAGCAUCUUCUUAGUUUCAAGUGCAGCAAUUAUAUAGUCGAGAAUUAGGUGAGCUCAAUGUAUGAUAAUGGCAUACAAUGCAUGCGAUAAGAGUUCAUGUCAAGCUUGUUCUUGCACAAAUUGAAGGCUUUGAAGCCUAUUUGAUGACUGGAAAACGAUUAAUAAGAAAUUAAGGUAAAGAUUUACACUUGAUCAGAUUUCUGAGAUUUUGUACAAGUUUCAUAUGGAUGAGAUUUAGAGAAAUUUGAUGUUUGACUCGAAAUUCAUCAAAUUUGGUUUUUAUACGACGUUUGUAUGGAAGAAGUGAGUUAUACUAUUGAUGGAUUGUGUUUUGCCUUGAAAUAUAUGUUUGAAUUUCUAGGAAAACAGACCUCAAAGCCGCUGGUUUCAUACCAGGUAUUGAAAUGUGAAAAUAGUUUCAGUUUUGGGGUAAGUUUGUAUAUUACCAAAAGUUCAGGGGCCAAAGUGAAAUUAUCAAUUGCUUGGGGCCUAUUUGAAAUAAUAAAAGUUCAAACACAGAUUUUUUAUUCUAGUUAAGUGAAGGUCCCUAUUGGAUAUAGUUGUUAUAAUGGGAAUAAAGUUUAGUCAUUAUAUAUGGACAUAUAGUGACAUAUUGUAAUUGUUGAACUAGGGACUCCAAUUACUCGUGGUGCUUACGUUUAAUCAAUGUAUUGGUGAGGAAUAUUACUUGCUUGGCUUGGAGACCAGAUAGGGGGAUCCUUAUUUACCCUAGUUAUGGAUUUUUGUGCAUAUGUAUACGUAAAUAUACGAAUGCCUGUGAAUGUUGCUUAUAUUUUGCUGAGAACCAUGAAGAAAAAAGGUUUUGUUUUUAUAUCAUGAUAUGCAUGUUGUUUUAUGCUACAGUUAAAGUGAUGACUUCAGAGUGAAGGGGGCAUACUGACCGCCUUGGGUUUCGAUCCCCUAAACCUCCGGAAGGGCCACUACGAAGGGAUUAGUACCGCUACCUUUCUAGGAGAGGUACUAGGAUAAGUAAAGCAUUAAAGGACACUCUCGCUACACCUUACCAUAAGUAUAUUCAUUCGGAGUUGGUGCAGGUAAAGGGGUAGUUGGUUAUUAGACCGAUCAUCAGGCAUGUAGCAAUUUAUUGGGAUCCCUGUUUUCUUUUUAAAAGGGAAUUGUGCAAGCAUACAAUCUAUUUUCAAAACUAAACAAAGAUGUUGUGCACCAAUCAUUUUCCAAUAGUAUAUAUAGUGACGUAUACUAUUUUUAAAUCUAGCUGGGGGUGGAUUCCCUGAGGGGGAGCUAUGAAAUAUUUGUGAUGCUCACCCUUACUUUAUUACAGGACCAGUGCACGUACAAAAAGAUGUUCUGGACUAAAGUCGGGACUAGCAUUGUUUGUUACUUGUCAACUUCUCAGUCGUUCAUUGACUCUUUCUACAUAUUUUUAUCUAUACAUAUACUUGAUUGCCUCACCAUCUUGAAGUGAUUUUUGUAGCCAAACUCAACAUUUUGCAUUUUCAAAUCGUACUAAAGAGUUGGUUUAGUAUGAUAAUUACUUUAAACUUUUUGGUUUUGUUGUAGAUUGUGAAGUUCUUUUCCUAUGUAAAAAUUUUAUCAAAAUUCAGUUACUCUUUUAUUCUUCAUUUUAUCAAAAUGAUUUCUGCUUCCAUACUGCUUAAAAAUAAAUUAUUUUAUUCCCCUCAAAUAGCCUUACGUUCUAUUAGGAAUGAAGUGCAAUAGUGUUGGAUUUUAACACUAUAGUUUUUUUUUUUACAAAUAGAGCGUGGCACUGUUACGUGAUUAUUUUUGGGGUGUGACUGAAAAAUGGUAUCAGAGCGACGGUUGAUCCACCUCUAAAGAAUUUUGUUGUUCCUCUUUAUUUUAAAUUGUUUUGGUUCGAAAAAGAGUUUUGAAUUCCACCUUCGAUUUGCGUUUUGGAUUGACUUUGCCAUGUCCUUUCAAUUCAAACUUCUACUUCAUUUGUUGUCGAGUCAAAUCUUGAAUGAGUUGUUGAGUCAAUAUCUCUCAUUUCAAUUCAUACUCUGUUGACAAGAUGCCUAGUCCUUCGACAAGUCCAAAAGAAAAUAGGGCACCGACAACAAAUAGCUAAAAUGUCUGGGGCUUUGCAAGCAUCUACGAAUGCUUAUAUGCGCACUAAUGAGGAACGUACACAUAAUCGAUAGAUGUCUUAUCUCGAUCGUUUUAUGAAAAAUAAGCUGCUCAAGUUUUAGGGAACGCCUGAAGCUGAGAGUUUGUUGGAACAUAUUAAGAAGAAGAUGAAAACUCUUCAUGUACCACCAUAAAGUUAACCUAGCUUCACAUGUUCCUAUGUAGCGGAUUUAUGAUGGGCUACUAUACGUGCUCAGUAUAACAUUGAAGAGAUGAAUUUUGAUGAUUUUGAGCAACUUUUUCUCAAGCGUUACUUUCUUGAUGCCAUGAAACAUACUAGGAUUCAAGACUUUCUUGAUCUUAAGUAAAGGGAAUAUGACUGUGGCUGAGUAUGUUGCCAAAUUUAGUGAGUUGAGUAAGUACUCUGAUGGUAUUGCUCAUGAUUAGAAGACAAUGGAAAUUAAGUUCAGAAAAGGGUUUAGAGACUUUAUCUGAAGGCAUAUUGUAGGUCAAGGACCUAAAACUUAACAUGAAAUUGUGGAAGCAACUUAUAAGUUAGAGCAAGAUUAAUAUAAAGGGUCAAGAUCGAGAAAAAUGAUUAGGAAGUUUUUUAGGAACAAAAAUGGAGUAGGAGUGGCAAUGGUGAAUAUAGAUUUAGGAGGCCAGGGCCUAUUGAAUGUUAUCAAUGUCAUGAAUUUGGAUCUACUAGAGAUAAAUGCACCAGUUGCAUUUAUGGAUCUCAUGAAUCGAGUAUUCCAACCUUAUUUGGAUAAGUUUGUUAUUGUUUUCAUUGAUGAUAUCCUUAUUUAUUUGAAGACUAGGGAGGAACAUGAAAUGCAUCUCCAUAUAGUCUUACAGACUAUAAUGGAUAAUCAGUUAUAUGCUAAGAAGUCGAAGUGUGACUUCUAGUUAACACAAGUGAAAUUCCUUGGACAUGUUAUAUGUGGAGACGGAAUUUGUGUGGAUCUCAGUAAGAUAGAAGCAGUAUUGAACUGGGAGCAACCUAAGAGUUACUUGGAGAUACGUAAUUUUCUUGGAUUAGUUGGCUAUUAUAGAAGAUUUGUUCGGGAUUUCUCAAAGAUUGCAAUUCCACUAACCUGACUCACAAGAAAAUGAGUAAGAUUUGAAUGGAAAAAUAAGUGUGAGUCGUUAUUUGAGGAAUUGAAAACAAGACUUACCACAUCGCCGGUGUUAGUAUUGCCUAAUAACCAAGAUCCAUUUGAGAUAAACACUAAUGCAUCGGCACAAGGACUCGGAUGUGUGCUAAUGCAAAAUGGAAAAGUUAUAGCUUAUGCUUCAAGACAGUUAAAGAAUUACAAGAGGAAUUAUCCAACACAUGACUUGGAGCUAGCUGCCAUAGUACAUGCAUUAAAGAUUUGGAGAUGUUAUAUGUACGGCCGUAAGUUCAAUAUUUAUUCAGAUCACAAAAGUCUUAAAGCAUAUAUAGUUUCAAUGUGAUUUGAAUUUGAGGCAAAGACGAAGGAUGGAGUACAUAAAGGAUUAUGUUUUUGAAUUGUCCUAUCAUCCUUGGAAAGCAAAUGUAGUUGAUGAUGCUUUAAGUAGAAAGACGAGGAACACUUUGUCUUAUCUGAUGUUGGUGGAUAAAAAGAUGUUUUAUACAAGACAAGAUUAUGAUCUAGAGGAACAACAUGAUGACAUAAGUGCUUAUUUGGCAAAUCUUAGUUUAGCACCUCAGUUGGGAGAUGUAUAAUGCAGAAACAACAGGAAGAUCCUAAAGUACAAGAAAUAAGGCAGAAGAUAGUUUCAGAAGAAGCACUUAAGGAAUGGAAGCUUCAUGAAAAUGGUAGUUUGAGGUACAAAGACCAAGUGGUUGUACUCGAGAAUGAAGAAGUUAGAAAGAAAGUAUUACAUGAAGUUCACAGAAUGCAAUUAGAUAUGCAUCCUGGAAGUACUAAAAUGUACAAGGAUUUGAAAAGGCAAUAUUGGUGGAAAGGUUUGAAGCGUGAUAUUGCUAUUUAUGUUGGCCAAUGUGUAGUGUACUAACAAGUAAAGGCAGAGGCAGAACACCAGAAACCUUUCGGAAUGCUACAAUCACUACCGAUCCAAGAAUGAAAAUGAGACAACCUCAUGAUUGAUUUUAUUACCGGCUUACCAAGAUCAAAGAAAGAACAAAAUGGUAUUUAGGUGAUAGUUGAUAGACUUACUAAGGUAGCUCACUCUCUGCCUAUGAAGAUGGAUUCGUCUAUCAAUUACUUUGUCAAAUUGUAUAUUGAAUGGAUUGUUCGAUUACGUGGAAUUCCAAAGACAAUAGUCUCAAAUCAAGAUCCAAGAUUCACAUCACGACUUUGGAAUAAGUUUCAAGAUGAGCCUGGAACUCACUUUGAUUUAAGUAUAGGUUACCAUCCGCAAAUUGAUGGACAGUCAAAGCGAGUAAUUCAAGUAUUAAUUCAAGUAUUGGAGGAUAUGCCUCGUACAUGCAUACUUGAUUGGGAAAUGAAAAGGCUUAGAAAUCGGGUUAUGCAAUGUAAACGGCAAUGUCAUGUACCUGAAGAAACAACUUAGAAAUAGGAAUCCGACAGUUAGAUAUCCACUUACAUUUGUAGAAUAGUUCACUACUUAGUGGCAUGAUGGGAAAGUAUUAGCUAUAUGUUUCUUUUCUUAUUCAUGUAAUCAUUGUCAUUCGCUCGAGUUAAGGGAUCUACUGGCCACCGGAUUUUUUAUACUCUACAAUGGAAUGUUCAUUGAUUUAAGGAAUAAGAAAUGCAAUAGAUAUGAUGCUAAGAAAAUUUUGCAAAGGUGCCCAUAAUUCUUGAGAGUUUAUGUGUGUUCGACUAAGUGUUAAAUGUAUUCAAUACGCUUAAGCUUUUGAACUUAACUUGGAAAUGACAGUCUGACCAAAGGUGGAACCUCUCGAGUUGUUAAGUAAUUCAGUGUUUAAAGUAAAUCUCAAGGACGAGAUUUGUUUUAAGGAGGGUGGAAUGUGAGACUUGAAAUUUUAGAGGUGUUUUUAUGAACUUUGGAGUACCUACAAAUUUUACAAUUUCUAGUUCCUUUUAAAUGGGUGAUGAUUUUACUUGAGUUCAAAGAUUAUUUUGAGGUAAAAAGAUGAAAUUGGAUAAGAUUACGAGCUUGUGGUAUCUUUUGGAUUAAUUUUCUGAGCUCAAACGAACUUACAGUGGAACUUUAAAUAUGACGGAUUGGAGAACACCAUGUGGCAAUCAAAGAAUGGCUGACUUUGAGACAUGGCAACCACAAGUGAUGGAAUUAGCCACGUGGAGAUCAAUUUGACAGCCACCUUACGCAAGAGAACUUAGUAGUUUGUUCAUGGUUAUUUAUUGAUAAGCUUCACCAUGCUGUUAAUUUAUAAGAAUUAUCAAGAAGCCUUGUUGUCAACUUUGCAUGGCAUGCAGAUGACCAAGCUUUUAAGUUGGAAGGAUUAAGGUGAAGGUGUCAUUAAGGUUUCAUACAAUAGACAAGUGUGUUUGUGACUCAUACUUUUACAAGUAGGAGUUGUCAAAGUAACGAGAAGGGUUAUCCAAUAUGGAGUUUAUGCUGCCCAUUUCAUCCAAUGAGGAAGAAGAGAUUUUAGAUUAUUUCACCUAUAAAUAGAAGCAGCACCUCCUUAGUUUCAAGUGCAGCAAUUAUAUGGUCGAGAAUUAGGUGAGCUCAAUGUAUGAUAAUGGCAUACAAUGCAUGCGAUAAGAGUUCAUGUCAAGCUUGUUCUUGCACAAAUUGAGGCCUUUAAAGCCUAUUUGAUGAUUGGACAACGAUUUCUAAGACAUUAAGGUAAGGAUUUGCAUAUGAUCAGAUUUCUGGGAUUUUGUACAAGUUUCAUAUGGAUGAGAUUUAGAGAAAUUUAUUGUUUGACUCGAAAUUCAUCAGAUUUGGUCUUUAUACAACGUUUGUAUGGAAGAAGUGAGUUGUAUUAUUGAUGGAUUGUAUUUUGGCUUGAAAUAUAUGUUGAAUUUCUAGGAAAACAUACCUCAAAGCUGUUGGUUUCAUACCAGUGACUGAACUGCGAAAAUAGUUUCAAUUUUGGGGUAAUUUUGUAAAUUACUGAAAGUUCAGGAGCCAAAGUGCAAUUAUCAAAAGUUUGGGGACCUCUUUGAAAUAAUAAAAAUUUCAAAUACAUAAUUUUUAUUCUGGUCAAGUGAAGGUCCUUAUUGGAUAUAGUUAUUGUUAUGGGAAUAAAGUUUAGUCAUUAUAUAUGGACAUAUUGUGACAUAUUGUAAUUGUUGAACUAAGAACUCCAAUUACUCGCGGUUCUUGCAUUUAAUUGAGGUAUUGGUGAGGAAUAUUACUUGCUUUGGCUUGGAGACCAAGUAGGGGAAUCCUCACUUACCCUAGUUAUGGAAUUUUGUGCAUGUAUGUAUAUGUAAAUAAACGAAUGCCUGUGAAAGCUGCAUAUAUUUUGUUGUGAUAGGACCAUGUGGAAAAAUGGUUUUGUUUUUAUAUCAUGAUAUGCAUGUUAUUUUAUGCUACAAAUUCAAGUGAUGACUUGAUAGUGAAGGGGGCAUAGUGACCGCCUUGGGUUUCGAUCCCCUAAACCUCCGGAGGGGCUACUACGAAGGGAUUAGUACCGCUACCUUUCUAGGAGAAGUACUAGGAUAUCUAAGGGUAGAGCAUUAAAGGACACUCUCGCUACACCUUACCAUAAGUAUAUUCGUUCAGAGUUGGUCCAGGUAAGGGGGUAGUUGGUCAUUAGACCAAUCAUCAGGCAUGUAGCAAUUUAUUGGGAUCCCUGUUUUCUUUUUAAAAGGAAAUUGUGAGCAUACAAUCUAUUUUCAAAACUAGACAAAGCUUUUGUUGUGCAUCAAUCAUUUUCCUAUAGUAUAUAUAGUGUCGUAUACUAUUUUCAAAACUAGCUAGGGGUGGAUUCCCUAAGGGGGAUCGAUGAACGUUUAUGAUGUUUACCCCUACUUUAUUACAGGACCGGUGCACCUACAAAAAGACGUUCUAGACUAAAGUCGAGACUAGCGUUAUUUGUUACUUGUCAACUUCUCAGUCGUUCAUUGACUAUUUCUACAGAUUUUUAUCUGUACAUAUACUUGAUUGCCUCUCCAUCUUGAAGGGAUUUUUGUAGCCAAACUCAAUGUUUUUCAUUUUCAAAUCAUACUAAAGAGUUGGUUUAGUAUGAUAAUUACCUUAAACUCUUUGGUUUUGUUGUAGAUUGUGAAGUUUUUUCCCUAUGUAAAAAUUUUAUCUAAAUUUAGUUACUCUUUUAUUCUUUGUUUUACCAAAAUGAUUUCCACUUCCAUACUGCUUAAAAAUAAAUUAUUUUAUUCCCCUCAAAUAGCCUUACGUUCUAUUAGGAAUGUAGCGCAAUAGUGUUGGAUUUUAACACUAUAAUAUUGCAUUAAUAAUAGAGCGUGACACUAUUACGUGACCCUUUUUUUGGGCAUGCCAAAGAGUUUCAUAUCGUACCUGAUAAUAUUGUGUAGGUAGGGGUUGACUUCUUCGUGCCUUGCCCCAGUUCGUAGGGUACUGACAUCAAUACUUGCCACAUGGUGUCAGAAAGAGUUUUCCCUGUUCUGAAUUGCAUGUUUGUUUCCAGGGAAUCUCAAGCAAAAGUUCUUUAGAAACAUAGACAUCAGCAUGUGGGUUAUAAACACUUUUUGAAUCUUUUUGUCAGGCUCUAUGCGUUGGACCUGAGCGUUUAUGAUCGUACUACCUUGGUUGGCUUGACUAAAGCAUUUCCGCGAAUCGAAGCUUCAUUGGAAUAAAUUCCUCUUGGGAUUUACCUAGUUUGAAUUCCUCAUUCGAACUUGCUAACAUUUGGUGUUACAGAGCUUACUUGACUUAGUAAGUUGGUUCGAGAUAGAAGCUGUCAUACUCAGGGUCGGAUGUUAGAACCACCCUCGAAUGAGUUUUGGCUCGCUCUUUCGACUAUUCCCUAGAAUGGCGAGCUCGGGUUUGAAUGUUAUAACCCAUAACCUUGCUGGUUGCAUAAACUUUCCGAUGGCCGGAUAGUGCAUUAGACUUUCGGGUCAAGGCUCUAUGUGUCUACAGCAGUAGCCUGCCAAUUGUUAUCGCGCUUAUUACAGUUCAAGUCUCCUAAGCUGCUAACCGUUCCAGACGUAUUAGGCUAAAUGACGCUCAUAUGGCAGUGUAACUUUGAAUGUCUUUAGACUUGCAUUGUUGCGAAGUUUUUAAAGUUUGGGCCCUGUUUUCAACGAGUAAGGUGCUCCAUGCAUCAUUGAAAUAUAAAGAAAGAACACGUAUUUAAGACAAAUAGAUGUUUCUAUAUUCAUGAUCAAGGUAAAAUUAAUUGACAAUGGGGCGUGAAUCCGAGAAGGAUAACCUACAUAUCUUAUGGACGAAGAAACAAAUCACUAGUAUAGUUCUAAGGAAAAUAUGAUAUGAUGUGAAAAAUUAUAUCAAGUAUCACUUUUGACGAUAUGCCUAUGGUGAGGCAUUGGGAGAUGAGUUCUUCUCGAACUUGUCUUCACACAGACGAUUGCUUUGUGAUUGGGUCUGGAAAUGACUGCCUACAUAUCCCGAGAAGGGUCGCGUGUAGUUUAUGUGAGAUUCACUUUGUUUUAGGUCACCUGGAGUGGUCUACAAGGGUUUCAAUUUUCUUCAGUAGAGAUUCUAUCCUUUUACAUAAGUCCUCCAGUUUCUCUGAUGUUAAAUUCUUCUCUGUUUGGAGUCAUUUGGGAUAACGAGGCGAGAUUCUAUAUUUAAAGGGGAUAUUUCCCGUGGCAUAUAACCAUUCUCGGCCUAGGAUAACGUUGUAUAGAGAUAGACUAUCCAUCACAUGGAAAGUCAUCAUAUGUUCAGCUGGUUUUGCUCAAACCAUAAAGCGUUAUGGUUUUGCUUAAACUAUGAGGCGUUAUGGUUUUGCUUGAACCAUAAGGCAUAUUGUCUCUAUGGUGUUGAGCGGCGUCCCCGUAAAAGUUCGGACAAUAGACUUUCUUAAGUUGACUUUGUUCAGGAUGCUCAUCCUUACAGUUAUCUCUCUGAAGAUGAUGUUGACUUCUAACAUGUCGUCUAUUAGGGCUUUGCUGACCAUGGCAUCUUUGAUUUGUAGCCUGACAACAAGGGUGCCAUUGGAAGAUAGGUAAGCAAUAUCUGGCUUGGUUGAAUGACCUUUCAUCUGAGGUUCUCCCCGGAUUGUCUUUCUUAUCUUUUGUGCUUUCUUGAAAUAUUUCUGCCAUUUUUUUAUGCGAUUGAUGCUCGGGAGGAACUUAUUACGUGAGUGUUGAGGGGUAGAGGUCUCAGAGUUUUAUGUAGCCUUGAUAAAUAUGUUGUCGGGAAGGGCUUCUGGAUCAAUGCAUUCUAUAUGGUGUAGAGUAAAACUUUCAAAUUUGGCGAGGGUAUUUCUAUAGUUUUCAUUCUCUCAUUCAGCCCGGCGAGCUUCAUCCUUUAUCUAACUUGUAAGUUCCUCUUGAGGUCUAUCAUUGACAUGUGUACCUUCGGACGUUGUCCCAAACCUGGUCAAUGAAAAAAGCUUCUUCUUUAUUCGGGCUUAUGGUUUGUCCAAACAACUAUUUUCUAGGUGUGGCCUCUAUAGAGUAAAGUGGUAUGGCUGAGAGGAAUAUGGGUUCACUCUCAAUGAAAGCACCAAUUGUUGAAUCAAAUAUUUUUACCUUUGUUAACGGCGAUUGAGCACAAAUUCGAGUAACCUGAGCAACCUGCAAAAUUGUAAAACAACAGUAAGCAAAGCUUAGGUCCGCUGGGGGAGGGGGAGUGCGCCCGCCAAAGGCUCUCCGACGGUCAAGUUAGUGAAUGAUCUUUAGGCUUAAGCAGUGGGCAAGAGAAUUCAAUUGUAUAGAUUGUGUUACCGUAGAUAAACCCUAGACGGGUGUAUUUAUACCGACGGAAAGAAACCUUUUUAGGAUAAAAUCCUCGUUUUAAGCCAAGAGAAUCCUAGAGGAUAUCUAGUACGUAGAUAUUGCAUCUCUUAGGCUUAAGAAUUAUGAUUACUUACGGCGCACAUCUAUCCCUGGACUAUAGGGACUCCAAGACUUAUAGGUCUGGUUGUGUUCUAUCUGGAUCAGAUCGCGUAUCUUGCAGAACAAACAUAAUCAUCCAACAGAGUCGCUAGGACUCCACCUAGUGCCCUAAAUAGAGUGAUGGUGGAACCCUGCUCCGUCUAAUACAACUACGCGCGCAAUUGGUGAGUCUAUGACUGGAUUUCUGAGGUAACAAUAUUCAAAUCAGCCUUACUCCAGCCCUGGAAAAUCAUGGUCCCACAUGCUAAAUAUCAAAGAAACAAAGACCACAAAUUGAUUAAAAGAGACUUCAAGUUAGUCAGCAUUCUUUGAGUAAAAGGAAAAUUGCAAAAAUAAAGUCCAGUGAAUGAAACAAAGGAAUAUACUAGCAAACAUUCAAGAAACAUUAAUAACAUAAGUGAUAAACAAAUCAUAUAAUAACAUGAAAAUAAUGGAAAAUACAAGCGAUUGGGCAAGUUUAGACAUAUUCGGGCAAGUUUCCAAGCAUGAGAAUUCUACAUAAGAGAAUUCUACAAGUUUAGACUUUGCGGUUGCAAGUGAUGUACUAUUAAGAGAAUUCUACAAAGGAAAUCGUUGCUACAAGAGGGAAGUAGCAGAGGUACAAAUACAAAUGAAUAUUUGAGAUACAAAAAGAAUAAUUGAAAAGUAGGCUGUAGAGCUUUUAGAAGUCUUUUUGGCUUGAGUUGAGUGACAUUUUCUCUAAUCCCUAUGCUACCUUUUAUAGAAGUUUCAUCUUCCAGAAUUAAGAUUUCUUAAUUCGGUUCAUUCCCUUUCAUUCAAGUUAGUGAUGUGAUGUUUGUCAAACGAUGUGUCUUCUUGGAUACACAAGCUUUGAUCAUCUCGAAUUUACAUAUGUUGCCAUAGUAAAACAUUUUUCCUGUGAAACUUGGCUGAGUAAGCUUUCUUUUUGUGUGAACGAGGGUGAACUUGCCGCCCAAAAAUGCCAUGUCAAAAGUACUUUUAAAUCUUGGACUAGCCACUAUUUAUUUCUGCCAAAAUAAAUAUCCAAAAUCACGAGCAUGAGUCAAAGAAUAUCCUAGCCCUUGGUCAGGCCCAAUUUGUUUAAUUAUGGUCCAAGCAUGCAGUUAGCUCCAAGCAGAAAGAAUGGUUAAAUAUUAAUCAUAUAUUACUCAUUGGUCCAAAACUUUCGUUUGUUUUUAGGGGUGAGUUCAAAAAAUCGAAAGCUGAAAAAAAAAAAAAAAAAAAAAGGGACCAAACACCUAAACCGAAAAAUCAAAAAACGAAAAAAAAAUCAAACUUGAAAAGGAAAAACCAAACUGAACCGAACUUGAUUGGUCCGGUUUCAGUUUUGAAGGUUCAAAAACCGAAUCGAAACGAACCAAACCGAAUUCUUUUACACUUUAUGAAUGCAUGCCCAUGAUGUUUCUUUUUUAAAACUUUGUUGCCAAGUUUAAAAGUAAGCCUAGGAUUAAGGAGCAUACUUGGUUCAAUUAGAAAAGAUAUUCCAUUGGUUAUAGAAGAAAGUUUGGGAAGGUUUUGGAACUUAGAAGAGCUUUUUCUAUUUGUUUGCUUUUGAAAUGGAUACGGUGAUCAUUUUUCUUUGCAAUUGAGGUUGUUGAUAGAAUAUGAUUGGUUAAUAUGAUCUUGUAUAUGUACAACUAACUACCUUCCCACUUUCCCCGUUUUCUUAUUAUUAGUCUACCAAGGCAAGCCUCUUUUCUAAAGUCCAUGUUAAAAAAAGAUCAACAUUUAUAAAAUAAAAAAAUCAAAACCAAACCGAAACCAAACCGAAAAAAAAAAACCAAACUGAAAAAAACUGAAAGAAAAUCGAACCGAAGUUUCGGUUUUGGGAAAAAACCGAACCCACCCCUAUUUGUCUUUAUGCUUUGUCGCCUUUCGAAACAUACCUUUGGUUUGUAAAUUUUGUUUAUAAAAUUUGGUCUCCCUAACAUUUUUCACAAAUUAAUUGGAUAAGAAACAAUGUUUUCUGAGAAAAGUACAAAUCUGGUCGGCCUCUACCUGCAAGUUUCCUGGUUAAUUUCCAAGUCCCCCUCCACAGUCAAUCAGUUAUUGCUAAAGUCAAUGCGCUCCAACUCCGAAAUUUCUUUCGAGCUUCAAUCGUAAAUAGUAAGUACUUAUGCUAAAGCCCAGACAGUUUGGAGAAGAAAACCUAUUUUUGUUAAUCCCAUCUUUAUUGAUCACCAACAACGUAGGACUUAACGUUAUCCAUUAUACUUUAGAGCAAAAUACACAAAAAGCAUAAUAGCACAACAGAAAUAACACAAAUAAAAAUCAAUUAGAGUAUGUGCAUACUUAAAAAACCGAAUUGGCUUUGUAAGACUCUCUCUAAACCUUAGGUUAAAACCUACAAUUUUUACCCCAGAAUAUUUAGGUUUUAACCUAAAAAUAAUUUUUCUACUCCAACUCUUAAGGAUUAAAUUUUUUGCCUAAGAUUAGUAAAGAAUGAAUUUUGGAUAUUUUUUUUUCUUAAAGUAAAUGAUUUUUUUUUAAAUUAUGUAAACUAUCCUAAUUUAAUUUUAUGAACAUUUGAACCUAAAAAUAUUUAGAUUCCGAUAAAUAUUGAAAAUCACUAAACUGACAGCAUGAAACUCAUGGAACAAAAGAAUAUGAAACACAUAAAAGAUAUUUUUUUAAUUACUUUAGCCGUUGGAUUUAAAUUUGAACUGUUAGAUAUUCUUCCUUUUUUUUACCGUUGGAUUUGAUCAUAUUAGAUUUUAGCCUUUGGAUUCAAUGAAUGUAUAAGUAUAAAACUAUAAAAAUACACAUAUAUGGAGUCCACUAACCCAGGCGGAAUUCUGGCCUCAAUUUGCUUCAUAAUGGGUUUGGGUUAAAACUCAUAUUUGCCCCAAGGGUUGGAGCAAGUUAGGAGAGGUUUAGAACCCAAAAUUUGAGUUUUACUCUAAGGAUUAGAGUAGGUCUAAUGAGUAGGGCAAAAAGAAAUUUUAAAAAUCAAGGGUGAAAAUUAGGUAAAUGAUGAGGUUCUUUUCUGUAAUUGAGAGAUAGCUGAUAUUUUCAAUAAAAAGAGAGCUGAUUUUUAGUAAACAACACUGAAUUUUUUGCGUAUAUUCUAUGGGAACAUAAGGGAAUUAUACUAUAGUCUCCUCACAUAAAAUUCUAAGCUCUGUCAUUUUUUCGUUAACCUAUAAUUCAUGCAAACGAGAUUAAUUAGUUCAUCAGUGGAUUUAUGAUCAUGUAAAUGAGAUAAAUUCAUAUGUUCGUUAAACAUGAUAGAGCUCAUGUGAGUAGGGAAGCAUAUAAUUUCCUUAUGUUUUCAUAGCAUAUGCACACAAAAAAUUUAAUUAUAUGUGUAUAAGUAUAUUUUUCAUCAUCUAGUAUACCAAAAAGAAAUAAAAAAAAUGUAUAUGUGUAUAGUAUUCAUCAUCUAGUAUACCAAAAAGAAAUAAGAAAGUAGCAUCUUCACAAUAAAUUCUCUUAAAUAACUUACAUUAGGCUGAUGAAUUCACUCACAACAAAAUUUGCACUAAAGAAAAUCAUGUUGCACUGCUUUCUAAUAAAAUAAAGGUAAUGUUAUCCACAUAUCUAUUUUUACUUGUUAGUUCUCACUCUCUCAAUUUUCAGUCAUUGGAUCAAAUGAAUAGAAUAAAAUCAAAGGUAAACUAAUGAAAAUGACUUGAAAACUUUGAGUUUUAACGAUAAUGACAAAAUAAAGGAUAAAGUGAAUAGUACUAGGAUUGAUUUUUGGGAACUUUAACGAAAAGCAUCCGGUACUGUUCAUUUUAACGAAAAACCACAUUUUUACACUAAAAAGUCAAUCCUGGUACUAUUCACUUUACUCUUUAUUUUGUCCUUAUCAUUAAAACUCAAAACUUUCAAGCCCUUUUCAUUAGUUUUCCUUUGAUUUUUUAGUGUAAAAUAUGGUUUUUCGUUAAAGUGAACAAUAUUUGGAGCUUUUUGUUAAAGUUCCCUAAAAUCAAUGACUAAAAUUUGACGAGAGUGUGUGGGAGGAAAUAACAAAUGUGUGGAUAUCACUAAUCUAAAAUAACAAGGUCAAAAGGAAGACAAAGUGACUUUCUUUUAGAGCUAAUACAAUUCUUUUAGAAAGAUAUUUGAUUGCAUGAACAAUAAAGUCCUUGUACAAUUUAAAUUAAAAACUCAUAGAAAAUUAUAUUCUUAAGAAAAGAAAACUAUACUUAUAUGACAUAAAAAAAUUAUUAAUCAACAUUGAAGCUUUUGUGCAUAUUCUACGAAAAAAUAAAGAAAUUAUACUAUAGUUUCCUGAAGAGAAAUUUCAACUCUAUCAUUUUUCGUGAACUUGUGAUACACGCUAAAAUGAGAUGAAUUCUUUGAUGAUGAAUAUUUGAUACACGUAAAUGAGACAUAUUCCUAAGUUUAUUGAAAAUGAUGAAGCUCAUGUGGUAGGCCAAAAUACAAUUUCCUUGUGUUUUCAUAGCAUUUCUCCAAAAAAAAAUUGUUGAAUUUUUUUUAAUAUAUAUAAAUAUAAUAUCUUCUCAUCUUCUGGUUUUGUGCAUAUUCAACAAAACCAAAAAUAAAAAAAAAAAACUUGCUUUAAGCCUAUGAAUUCUUUUCUUUAAAAAAUGGGGACAAUUGGUGGUAAGUCACAGUUAUCCACCUCUUCCGGGGGGUUGGGAAGACUCAUAGAGGCAUUUCAGCCUCCCCCUAGCCACAGUUAAGCAAUUCAGUCACAAUAAAAUAAAAAACACUUUGUGUGAUAAAUGUAGACGUAUUCAUAUAUUCUACGAAAAUAUAAGAAAAUUAUACUAUGGUCUCCUAGCCCACAAGAAAUUUCCAAUUCUGUCAUUUCUAGUUAACUCGUUAUUCACGCAAACAUGUUUAAUUUAUCAAUGGACAUAUGAUACACAUAAAUGAGAUUAAUUCAUAAGUGCAUAGACAGCGACGGAGCCAGAAAUUUAUGCUAAGAGGGGCCUUUAAGCUAAUGAAAGAAAUUAGAAAAAAAAAAUUAAGUAACAUCAUUGAAAAUGUUAAUCAAACAAGAGUGAUGGAGCUUUAAAAUUUGUAUGAAAAAAUUAGUAUUGAGAGAAAUCAUAGUAAAUAGAAUUUGUCCUCACAUCUUAAUCAACAUUGAUAAUAACCUUAUAACUAGCUCAAACUAAACUAUUAUUAUGAAAUUUUUCUUUUAAUAUUAUUGAUCUUCCUCUCUCGAAUGUAUAUACCUUGUUUUAUAUAAACUAAAAAAGAAGGAAUUAGUUUAAAAGAUAUCAAAAUGUUGGCAGAAGAGUACUUAUAAGUUAUAUAUGGUAAACUUUAUUUUAGGUGGGGGGGUUUAAAAAUCAUAAGGUAGUUUUCCAUCUGCAUGUGUCGACCCCAGGACCUCAUGAUAGGUCUAAAAUCUGAUCAACCUAUACACCACAUUCUCAUUCUUGCAAAAGUCAGUACACAAUUAAUAUAAGUUUAAAUUCCAGGCCCUGGACUGCCCUACUCUCCAUGUGGCUCCGCCACUGUGCUUAGAACAUGACAACCCAUGUGAGUAGAGAAGCAUAUAAUUUCCUUAUGUUUUCAUAGCAUGUGCUGAAAAAAUUUAUAUGUAUCUAAGUAUAGUUUCUCAUCGGUUGAUAAUCUAACAAAUCGUUUGACAAAAAAAAAGUAUAGUUUCUCAUCUUCUAGUAUACCAGGAAACCUAUAGUAGCAUCUUCAAAAUAAAUUCUCUAACUUACACUAGGCCUAUGAAUUCACUUGCAACAUAAUAUUUUCUCCCUCAAACAGAGGGCAAUUGUGUUAAUUUUUGAAAAAUUAACCAUAACGUUUCUCCCUUAAAAAUAUAGGUAAAUAUUAAUUUAUUUUUAUUUUUUAUCUUCUAGUAUAAAGUUUGUGCAUACUAAAAAAAAUAAAAUAGUAAUCUUCAAAAGUUUAACCAUACUUGUAUAUAUUUUCUCAUAUAUACUUUCACCCAGCACCCAUAUUUUUUUUUUUCAGUUCUAUAAAGUAUACUUUCUCCGAAGUUUUUGUCUAACAAAAAAAACGAUCAUUAUCAACUUCCAAAAAUUAAAAGACCACGUACAUAAUAAUUAACUGAAAUAUAUUGAAUUAGCUAAGGUAGUUGCAUGUUAGUUCAACUUUUUGUUUUCUCUUUACCAUUUCUUCGAAGUUAGGAAUGGAAUUAUGAAAAGAAAAAAGGCCAAAAUAGUCUUUGUCAACUUUCUUGAGGUCGCCCACUACCCCUUCAAUACGCCUUUCUAAAUAUAAUUUGUUGUCGUCGUCGUUAGAGCUGCACCUUCCAAUACUCUUUCAUUUACUUUAAUCCACCGUGUGCUUUGGCUCAGAUUCCAGGACGUUUCCAAGAAACGAUACUGUAGAAUAGUUGAAGGGUCGUUUAGCGGUUUCGCAACCACUUCGGAUACAAUUUAAUGGCAGUGUGAUGCAUCAACAGCUUUGUCAAUGCAUGAUUUUUGAAAAAUGUUACCGAGGUUACGUUUUCAGAUUAUAUUUUGUAAACUAAAUGAUGUGGCAGUUGAUGGUUGAAUAUUUUGUUAAUGCAUGAUUUUUGUUUAUGCAUGACUUAAUAUUACGGAAUAGUAGUAUUCAUAUUCACUUGUUAGUGAGAAGUCUUAAGUUCGAUCUCGUCAAAGGCGAAUUUGAACUACAUUGUUGUUAGCUCAUUGUAAGUCUCAUCCCAUCCAUUGUCUUUUAGUAUAGAAAAAAUCGUUUGUUAAAAAAAAAAAAACCCAUGAAUAAAGGAGUAGGAUCAUCUCCCCUCUUAUUCUCAUCCUAUUUCUUUCCGUCCUCUCACGUAUUAUUUUUUGUCUUAUUAUCUCUAUAAAAAAAUCAAUAUAAAAUGUUAACGUAGCUUAAUCAUAACCGUUCAAGUAGGAGUGAAGAGAAUAAAAAAGAGAUAAGGAUGGAAGAGAAUCCUCAAAAGGAAAAAAGUAAAAAACUUUUGGUCUAAUCAAGAUAUGCCAAUAUUGUAGAUUCACAAAUAAAAAACCCACGAUCUGAUCGUACAACCCUAAGGCCAUCUCCAACCGAAGGGUCCAGAGGGCCAGAGGGCCGAAAAUAGCCCUAAAAUUGUCUCCAACCGAGAGAUAGGCCAGAAGGCUGUGGAAUCUAAGAGGGCCCCACGGAAUCGGAAAGGGCCAAAGGGCUAAAGGGCUAACCAUAAUUUUUUUAAAUGUGUCAUUUCCUGUCGGUUAUAACCGAUAGGAAUACAUUCUAUUACUUAAUAUAAAUGUAUUACUGUCGGUUAAAUAAUAUAAAUGUAUUCCUGUCUCUUAAGAAAAAAUUCAAAUGCAACGGCUAGCUCACUAGCCGUUGCAUUUGAAUUUAUUUUUUUUUACAGUUUUAUUAUUAUUUUUUAUUGUUUUAUUAUUAUUUUUUAUGUACAAAAUUUUUCAUAUAACUUCUAUUUUUUCCUAUAACUUUUAUUUUACAAAAUUUGUUUCAUAUUUUUUUUUUAAAUUCCAUUUUUUCCUAUAACUUCUAUUUCACAAAAUUUGUUUCAUUUUAUUUUAAAUUCUUCUUUUUUCCUAUAACUUCUAUUUCACAAAAUUUGUUUCAUUUUAUUUUAAAUUCUACUUUUUUUUAAUUCCAUAUUUUUUCAUUUUAUGUUUGGCCUUAUUGCCCUCUGGCCCUCGGGUUGGAGACGUUUUUUUGUGACAUGGCUAAAACGAGCCCUUUGACCCUUUGGAGACGGAGGUAAAUAUGAUCUUAUACUGUUCAUUAAAAUAUUAAUAUCUUGGAGGAUCUUGGAGGGCCAGAGGGCUAAAACGAGCCCUCUGGCCAGCCAUCGGUUGGAGAUGGCCUAAACUCUCUUCCGAAAUACGUAUCUCUCACAUUAUAAUAGGGAUGUGGCUGUUGUUGAAAUCAUUACAAGAAUGAAAAAUAUGAAGUCUUGCCUAAUGUCAAGUUUUCGAAAUGUAGAUUUCGUGUUUCAUUUGUCAAAAAUAAUUUUUCUCAUUCAAUUUACUUGUAGUUUAAUUGGUUAGGGUUUUGUUCUACAACAAAAAGUGAGAGGGGUUUUGAGAAUUGAAUAAGAUAAAUAAUACGAUAAAAGUGAUUUAAGGUAUAUGUAGAAAUCUUUUAUUUUUAAAAGAAAAAAAUCUUAUAAAGUCAAAAUUGUAGUUGCAUAGUAAGGUAUAUAAGUAUAAUUUUUUCUUUUAAACCUCAUAAGAUAGAAAUUAUCAUUACGUAUGUAAGUUGUUUAAUAUUAUAUUUAAAUAUGAGGUGUAUUCAAUAUAAUAAAGGGAAUUUUAUCGAAAAAUUUCAGGUACUAUUCAUUUUAACGAAAAACUACAAUUUUAUACUAAAAAGUCAAUCCUGGUACUAUUCACUCUAUACUUUAUUUUAUCCUUAUCGUUAAAACGCAAAACUUAAAAAAAAAUUUUAUUAGUUUUCUUUGUAAUAAAGGCCGGAAGGAAUGUCUAAAUAUUAUUCGUUAAUUGCAUUUUGGUUCAAAACUUUCGUUUGUCUUUAUGCUUUUGGCUCUUUAUGCUUUUGACUCAGAAACUUACCUUCGCAAUUUAAUUGGAUAAAAAAAUAUGUCUUCUGAGAACAGUACAAUAGGUUGGUCGAUUAUCUCUACCACUCUCACCAUGAAGUUUCCCAGACAUGGUGAUGCAGUUUCCUGGUUAAUUUCCAAGCGCUUCACAGUCAAUCAGCUAUUGCUAAGGUUAACGCGCUUCAACUCCGAAAUUUCUAUCGAGCUUCAGUAGUAAGUAUUUCUAUAUUAAAGGCCAGAGAGUUCGGAAAAUAAAAUAUCUUGCAUGAUCACCAACAACAUAAAAGAAAAUCGACUUUAUGUUGCUUGUUUUCUGAAUCUCUUUGUUUUGGGUUCCAAAUGUAAGAGUUUCUCACUUUUCCACAGUUUCUAAUCUGUUAUUGUUUUGGGAAAGUAGCUAAAAUGGUCCGAAAUCAAUUCUCAAAUUCCCAAUUCUGAACUUGUCAAAAUCAAAUAUCGAUGAUAUACUGAAAAACUGAUCAUUUCAGCUAUUGGGCGAAAAAUGAUCAUUUCUGCCAAUUUCCCUGUUAUUUUCUGUUGUCGUAAAUUUUAGAUUGAAACUUUUGUAAGUUUUUCUAAUUUUGGUGUUGGUUUUUGUUGUUAAGAAUCAAGGAAUGGGUGGAGAAGGCGGCCUUAUCGGCGGGGCUGGUCUCGGAACACUAUUCAAUGCGCUGUAUGAGGGCCUCGGGGAGCUGAUUGCCAAGAAUCUAGUGUUUAAGCCCCUACUCAAAAACAUCAGGUUAGACUCUUUGGAGCCAUUGUUGAAAGAUAUAGAAGAAUCCAACAAGAAAUUGGAUCUUCCGGUUGUGGAACUGGAAAACUUAAAAGCACAUUUGGAGGAGGGCAUAGAGCUCCUUCGAAAGUGCAAAAAGAUUCGAUGGUGGAUCGUCUACAAAAGGUACAAAUACGCCACUAAGCUGAUUCGAUGGGAUAAAUCUCUUCAACGAUUUCUGGAAAUACUAAACGUUCAGGGAAUAAGGGAUGUGAAGGACAGCACGGUUUCGGUGAAGAAUAUAGAGAAGCUGGUCAGCAGAAUUGAAUCGAAUAUGGGGAUACCAAAACAAACCGACAGUGAAGCUUGGUGUGCGGUACCUGAACUUCCCCCGCUAGUGGUUGGAUUGGAUUUUCCUCUCAAGGAAUUGAAGAGGAAGCUUCUAAAGGACGAAAACGUGUCAAUGGUUGUGCUGACUGCUCCCGGAGGAUGUGGAAAAACCACUCUGGCUACAAAGUUUUGUCAAGACAAGGAUGUCAAAGGUAUCAUAUAUUAUAAGUUGGCACUCGGAAUUGUUUAUAUUUUUUUUCUUUGUACAUUCAUGGCAGAUUUAAAUGACGCCCCAAUGACUGAUUAUUAUGUUUUCAUUGGACAGAUACAUUCAAGGAGAAUAUCUUCUUCGUCACGGUUUCAAAAAAGCCUAAAUUGGAAAAUAUUGUUCAAGAUUUAUAUCAACGCAAGGGUUUCCCGGCACCUACUUUCCAAAACGAAGGCAGUGUAGUGACGUGGCUGCAACAUUUUCUGAGGGAAGAAGGGCAGAAUCCUUUACUGAUUGUCCUGGAUGAUGUUUGGUCUGGAUCAGAAUCCCUUCUGGAGAAGUUUGAUCAAUUCAAAACGGAAAAUUUCAAGUUUUUGGUGACAUCUAGGUCUGAAUUUCGGGGAUAUGGUUCCCCUUAUUAUUUGCAAUCAUUGGAUCAUGACAAUGCGAUGAAACUUUUUCAUCAUUCAGCAUCCCUUGGAGAUAAGAGCUCUCAUAUUCCAAAAGAUCUUCCGGAAAAGGUACUUUUUAGUUGCAAUGCACAACAUGUAUAGUAAAAAAUUGGUUGACUUGGUUUAGGAAAAUUAUGAACAAAUUAUGUUCACUUUACGCAAACCAUCCACAAUCGAGUGAAUGAACACAUCCAUUUACCAUAAUUACUUGUGGACUAAAACUAAAAUUAGAAUACUGUAUAUAGUUAUUUAACCAUUUUCUCAUCUUAGUAACUUGAAUUUUGGCUCUGCAACUUAAAAGGUAGUUGACUUUGUUUUGGAAAAUUAUCCUGCAGAUAGUUGAGCGUUGCAAGGGAUUUCCACUUGCUAUUACAGUGGUGGGGAGAUCACUUUGCGGGGAGCCUAUUGAGAUAUGGCGCGAAAGAGAACUCGAAUGGUCGAAAGGAUUUUCUAUUCUUGAUUCAGAGACUGAAUUGCUGCUCUGCCUUGAAAGAAGCUUGGAUGCCGUUGAUAAAGAAAUCAUCAAGGAAUGUUUCUUAGACUUGGGUUCAUUUCCUGAAGACCAAAGAAUCCCUGCUGCUGCCCUCAUUGAUAUCUGGGCAGAGUUAUAUGAUGUGGAUACAGAUAUAGAGUGCAUUGCAAAUCUCUACGAGCUAACCAAACGAAGUCUAGCUAAUCUUGUUGUUACAAGGUAUAGAGUGCAUACUUUCUUUUUUCUUGUACGAUAUUUUUGCUCGAUUUUCCCUUUUAUAUUCAGGACUACUUGAUGUUGAUAACUUGUUAUUGCAAUAUGUUGGUUGAAGAAAUCUCUUCUAAGAAAAUUAGUUUUGAUCAUCACCAGGAAGGACAAGACUGAGGGGGACUGGUACUAUAGUGAGCACUUUGUUACCCAGCAUGAUGUUCUUAGGGAGCUGGCUAUCUACAACACAAAAACAGGACCGGUAGAACAUAGAGAAAGACUGAUUAUUGACAUAUGUGGAGACAAACUUCCAAAAUGGUGGAGAGAACAGAAGCAUCAGCCGAUGAAGGCCCGCUUAUUAUCCAUAACAACUGGUUGUUCCAUCGCUCCCUUUCUCUUUAGCAAUUAUGUAGACGCACACAAAUAAAUAGUCAUUCUUACACAUGCACGUCCAGCCGACCCCACUUAGUGGGAAAAGGCUUUGUUGUUGUUGUUGUUACACAUGCACGCCCGUGUGCAUUUAGUCUUAAUAGUACUUUCAUUUUAGUUUCUCAUCCCGACACUCACAGUUGUUACUCUGCAGAUGAAGGGUUUUCUUCAAAAUGGCACGACAUGCAAAUGCCACAAGUUGAGGUUUUAGUGUUGAAUUUCCAGACAAAGAACUAUGCCUUACCCAACUCCGUGGUGAACAUGGAUGAAUUGAAGGCUGUGAUAGUCACAAAUUAUGGUUUCUUACCUGCUGAAUUAAGUAACUUUCAACUUUUGAGUUCAUUACCAAAUCUUAAGAGAAUCAGAUUAGAACGCAUCUCAAUUCCUUCCAUAACCAAGAAUCCCAUACAUUUGGCGGGUCUGAAGAAGAUAUCCUUGUUCAUGUGUAACAUUGGUGAAGCAUUCAACAACUGUGCCAUCUCAAUCUCAUCAGCAUUCCCAAAUCUAGAGGAAAUGAACAUCGACUAUUGCAGUGAUUUAAUUGAAUUGCCCUCCGAGGUUUGUGAUCUUAUUAAAUUAAGGAAGCUCAGUGUCACUAACUGUCAUAAGCUAUCUGCCUUGCCUGAAGGGAUUGGAAAUUUGGAAAAUUUAGAAAUGUUGAGGCUAAGAUCCUGCACAGAACUGUCGAAGCUUCCAACCUCGAUGAAGUACCUUGGAAAGGUAAACUUUCUUGACAUAUCUGAUUGCUUCAGCAUCAAGGUGUUGCCCGAAGACAUUGGUGAAAUGAGUAGUUUAAGAAAGAUCAACAUGAGACAAUGCUCAAGGUUGCAAGAGCUGCCUCCAUCAGUCAUGGGUCUUGAGCAGUUAAAGGAAGUGGUCUGUGAUGAAGAAACAAAAUAUUUAUGGGAACCCAUCUCAUCGUAUCUCAAGAACGUAACGAUAAUUGUGGCCAAAGAGAAUAUGAACCUAAAUUGGCUCCACAAGACUCGGUUCUGAUGUGUUUCCCCAGUGAACCUUGCUCUUCAACCUCUGUGUUGGUUUGUGUUUUUAAUGAAACUUUUAAACUCUACUGUAACAUGUACGAAUAAGAUCAUGACCAUAAGUCCUAAGGCCUGCUAUUUGUUUCAGAUUCGUAUAGUAAAGUGCUAAUGUAAAAAGAUAUACUUAAUCCUUAUUUGUGGAGGAUUGAAUAAAAGUAUGAAAACUGGUUUUACAUUUUGUAUACAAUAAGGUAACUUAUUCAGUAUUGAAUAAGGAUUCUAAUAGGAGAAUUACAUGGAUUGAUUGUGUAUAAAUAGUAGCCUAUGUUCUCACAAAACAUACGCUCAGUAUUUUGGGAGGUAUACUAAGGCAGGUCAAUAGAAAGGACCUUUUGCUCUUUAUCUGGAGAAACAUGGCAUCGUGGCACAAUAUACGACACCUAGAACGCCACAACAGAAUGGAGUCUCAUAAAGAAGGAACAGAACUUUGAUUAGGAUAGUAAGGAGCAUGGUGUCUAGAGCUAAACUUCCAGCAUUCUUAUAGAGAGAAGCACUCAAAACAGCAACUUAAAUCCUCAACAGGGUGCCAACCAAAGCUAUUUCACAAAUCCCUUUUGAAAUUUGGACUGGAAGAAAACCAAAUUUUGAUUAUUUUCAUGUUUGGGGUUGCAAGGUUCUAUAAUCCACAUGAGCAGAAAUUAGAUGCAAGAACUCAAUCUUGCUAUUUUGUUGGCUACUGCGAAAAGUCCAAAGGGUUCAAGUUUUAUGAUCCACAAGCUCAUUCGAGAAUUCAAGAGUCACACAAUGCUGUUUUUCUAGAAGAUCAAGAUGUGGCAUAUUUGAAUCAAGAUGAAUUUAAUUUUGAGGAACUAAUCUCGGAUGAAUAUGUCUCUCCUGCAGAAAAUUACAAGAUUCUUUCCAUAUUCCUGCAAAAGAUUAGUCCAAAUGAAGAAGAAGAUCAUCAAAUGGCAGAUUGUGGACUUGAAACAAAAACUACAUUUGAUCAGACUCGGUUGGAAGAUCAUGUUGUGCAAAAACAACAACAAAUUGAAAGUUCAGAAGCACCUCGAGCUGAACCUGAAUUAAGAAAAUCAACAAGAACAAAUAAGUUAGCCAUAUCAAAUUAUUAUGUCUAUUUGCAAGAAUCUGAGUAUGACAUAGGUGAUAUUGAUGAUCCCAUCACCUACAAUCAAACUAUAGAGAGCUCACAAUCAAUCUUAUAGGUCAAUGCAAUGAAGGAGGAAUUAGAAUCGAUGAGCAAAACAAAGUCUGGACAUUGGUUGAAUCUAAUUCCAAAAUCAAGCAUAUAGGUUAUAAGUGGGUUUAUAAAACCAAAUGAGACUCUCAAGGCAAAAUUGAAAGAUACAAAGUUAGAUUAGUUGCAAAAGGGUUCACUCAAAGAGAAGGUAUUGACUACAACGAUACUUUUUCACAUGUAUCAUCAAAAGAUUCCAUGAGGGUCACAAUGGCUUUGACUGCACAUUUUGAUUUGAAGCUGCAUCAGAUGGAUGUCAAGACCACCUUCCUUAAUGGAGAGCUACACGAAGAUAUUUAUAUGAGGCAACCAAUUGGAUUUGUUGAAAGGGGGAAGGAAGAUAUGAUUUGUAAAUUAAAUAAGUCAAUUUAUGGUCUCAAACAAGCUUCAAGGCCAUGGUAUCUCAAAUUUGAUCAAGUGGUUAAACUCAUGGUUUCACUAAAAACAAGUUAGACGACUGCAUCUAUCUCAAGUUCAGUGGAUCAAACUUAAUUGUUUUGGUGCUAUAUGUCAAUGACAUAUUACUGGCCAGUUCUAGUUCUAAAUUACUGCAGAACACUAAGUCCAUGCUUAGUGUUAAUUUUGAUAUGAAGGACCUUGGUGAAGCUCACUAUGUUCUUAGAAUAGAGAUUGUGAUAGACAGAAGGUGGAGACUUUUGGGUUUAUCUCAGAAAGGCUAUAUUGAUAGAGUGCUAACUCAGUUCAACAUGGAGCAUUGCAAUGGAGGCCACGUUCCUGUCAACAAAGGUGAUAAAUUCAUUAGAGCACAAUGUCCCAAGAGUGAAACUGAAGUGAAAAAGAUGAGAGACAAACCUUAUACCUCAUUGGUGGGUAGUUUGAUGUAUGCAAAUGUUUGUACGAGACCUGAUAUUGCCUUCAUUGUUGGCAUCUUGGGUAGGUUUCAAUCAAAUCCUGAUGAAGCUCAUUGGACUACGGCAAAUAAGGUAUUGAUAUAUCUGCAACGAACCAAGUCUUUCAUGCUCAUGUAUGGCAGAGAUCCACAGCUAGAAGUCACUGGAUAUAUUGAUUCAGAUUUGGCUGGAGACUUAGAUAAAAGAAAAUCCACUGGAGGCUAUGUCUUUAUGCUUGGAGAUUGAGCUAUUUCAUGGAAGAGUUCUAAGCAAUCUAUUAUAACAACAUCUACCAUGGAAGCAGAUUUUGUAGCCUGUUUCGAAGGCAGCAAGCAAGCUAUUUGGCUCAAAAAUUUCAUAAGUGAGUUGAAGAUAAUGGAUUCAAUUCAAAAACCGAUGAAGAUGUUUUGUGACAAUACUUCGACUGUGUUUUUCUCUAAAAACAAUAAGAGGACUUCUGCUAGUAGACUGAUGGAUGUAAAAUUUUGAAAGUUCAAGAAAUGGUGAAGGAAGAAGCUAUAGAAGUACAACAUCUGAAUACAAAUCUCAUGGUUGCAUAUCCUUUGACUAAAGCUUUACCAAUUGGAGUUUUCAAAGCUUAUGUUACUCGAAUGGGAGUGCUGGAAUCUUUUGAUCAGUUGGAGUAGUUGCUGGUACAGAAGUAUUGAAGGUGAUGACAUCUUUGUAGGUUUAUAAGUUGAGUUAUUAGUUAGUUUUGCUUCAAUUAUUUUGUUUCAACUAGUUUUAUGUUUUAGCUAGUUUUGAAUAAUUGAAUGUUUUCAUUUGGGUUCAAUUUUUCCAGAUUAUCUGUGAUGAAUUGUUCUAGAAGACAAAUUUUGUUUUAUGGUUCUUAUAAUGCUUUAAAGUCAGUCUUUGAUUUGAUAAAGCAGUUGGUGGAAUUAUAAAGUGUUGUUCAUAGUAUUACUUAUGAUCUUUCGAGAUUUUGGUUUGAGUAAUUACUUGGAUUAUGUAUCAUGUUAUUCAAGUGGUUUGAAUAUUGAGAUGAUUACGAUUUAGUAUCAUGUGUUGAUGUUAAAUGUUUUGGCUUCAAAAGUGGGAGCAAACUUGUUUUGAGUUUGUCUUUAAUCAGUUGGUUCACAAUGUUACAAGGGUGCAGAUUUAGUAUUUGUGAUUUUGAAAUUAGCCCUAUAUUGUAUCAAGAGUGUGAAUUUCUGGAUUCAAUACUUUGAAAUGCAUUGAUAGAUUGUUUGUGAUGUAGUAAUUUUUCAUUGAGAUUUAGUGAUCACUUCUAUAAUGAUAUGAAUUAUUGUGCGAUGGUUUUGGGUCAUGAUCAAGUGGGAGAAUGUAAGAAUAUGAUCAUGACCAUACGUCCUAAGGCUUGCUAUUUGUUUCAGAUUCGUAUAGAAAAGUCUCAAUGUAAAGAGAUAUACUUAAUCCUUAUUUGUGAAGGAUUGAAUGAAAGUAUGAAAACUGGUUUUAACACUUUGUAUACAAUAAGGUAACUUAUUCAUUAUUGAAUAAGGAUUAUAAUAGGAGAAUUAUAUGGAUUGAUUGUGUAUAAAUAGUAGCAUCUGCUCUAACAAAACAUACUCUCAAUAUUGAACUAAGAGUCUAAGACCUAUUGUUAGUUUGAGUAUUAUUGGUUUUGACAGAGAGGAGAAGAUCUGCUACUUGUUUGCCCAUGGCUCCAUCUUCUACUGUUGCUGCAGGUUAGUUUAUAUUCCAUCUUCUCUAGGAGGUUUAUUCAUUCUUACAUAACAUGGUUUCAGAUUCAAUCUCUUUGUACAGUUUCUUGACUUUUUUGUUUAGAAAUCUGUUUCUGUAAUUCAACACCGCAAUCUCAUUCAUGCUCUCCCAAAAUAAAUUCAAUACCACAAGGUUGAAGAGUCUUCGUAAGAUAAGAACUUUCAUGUCACGGGAUCAGGUGUUAAUCUGAUUGUGGGUAAGUUUAUGCGGUAUCUAUACUAACGUCAACAGGUCAAGUUUACAGAACUGUUCACAUAUGGUCUAGAUGAAUUGCCAAAUCUAGAGGAAUUGAUUGGUUAUCGACUUCUAAUCAACAUAGAAGUCAGUGACAAAGUAGAUAAUGAAUAACAAUAUACUUCAGAAGAAAAUACUCAAAUUCAAUACUAUAGAGAAUUAAUAACAUCCAUUAUACAUUAAAAAAAUACACAAAUUUAAUACUUUGUAACAUAAGAAGAAGGCACAACUGAAAUGUCACAACUAAUAAUCCAUUGAGUAAAUUGUAACAAUGGUCUCUCAACUUUAAUCAAAUUAGAGCAAUGGUCCCUUAACUAAAAAUUCAUUAUCAUUGGUCCCUCAACUUAUCAAAAUGUGUAACUAUAGUCAUUUUCAUCAAUUUCGUCAAAAUUUUGUCAAAAUAAGUUAUGUUGGAAUAACCAUUUAUAUAAUUAGGGUCCCUCAACUCAUCAAAGUGUAAUUAUGGUCCUUUUCGUCAACUACAUCAAAAAUUUUGUCAAAACGAGUUAUGUUAGAAUGAUCAUUGCUACAAUUGGGUUAGAGUUAAGGGACAAUUUCUGAAUUAAAGUUGAGGGACCAAUGAUAAUGAAUUUUUAGUUGAGAGACUAUAGCUACACGUUGUGAUGAGUUGCGGGACGAAUGGUAAUGGAUUUUUAGUUAAGGGACCAUUGCUCCAAUUGAGUUAAAGCUAGGGACUAUAGCUACAAUUUACUCUAAUCCAUUAGAGUAUGUCAAUACUAUAAAAAAAAUUAAAAAAAAAAUUUUUUAAAUGACUUGGCUUUGUAAUGGGAGGGACACUAAGAAAUUUCACAGCUAAGAAUCAAUUAGAGCAUGACAAUUAGGUAAAUGAGGAGGUUCUCUUUGUAUAAACUAUAACAAAUAAUUGUACAUUAGAAAGAUAGUUGAUAUUUUCAAUAAAAAGAGGCAUAUUUGUCGAUUUGCCAUCUGAACUUGUAUGGAGCUGCCAAUUUCCCCAUAAACUUUAAUUUUAGCCAAUUACGCUCUUAAACUUUUAUAAUUAGCCAAUUUUCCCCUUGAAUUUUAAUUUUAGCCGAUUACCCCUAAACCUUAAUCAAUAGACAAUAUUCCCCCUAGCGUUAGAUUUUAAAAAAUUUCAUCUAAUUUUCCAUCCAUCUUGAUAAUGGAAACAACACAUAACAACUGUAUAAGGGUAAGAAGGAUGAAAAAUUGAAUAUAAGUUUUUAAGAUCUAGCGCCAGGGCGGGAAUUGGCUAUUUAUAAAAGUUCAGGGAGAGUAAUCGGCUAAAAUUUAAGUUCAAGGGGGAAAUUGGCUAAUUAAAAAAUUUUAAGGGCGUAAUUGGCUAAAAUUAAAGUUCAGGAAGAAAUUUGGUAGCUACAUACAAGUUCAGGGGCAAAUCAACAAAUACCUCUAAAGAGAGAGCUGAUUUUUAUUAAUCAACAUUGAAGUUUUUGUGUAUAAACUAUGAAGCCAUAAGGGAAUUAUGCUAUAGUCUCCUCACAUAAAAUUCUCAACUCUAUCAUUUUCCGUGAACCUAUAAUUCACACAAAUGAGGAUCAGUUUAUUAGGGGAUAUAUGAUACACCUAAAUGAGAUCAAUUCAUAUGUGCAUUAAACGUGACAGAGUCAUUGUACAAUUUAAAUUUAAGAAAAGAAAACUAUACUUUCAAGACAUAAAAAGUUUAUUAAUCAACAUUAAAAAAUGUAUGCAUAUUCUAUGAAAAAAUAAGGAAAUUAUACUAUGGUCUCCUCAUAAGAAACUCUCAACUCCGUCAUUUUCGUGAAUUUGUGAUACACGCUAAAAUGGAAUGAAUUCUUCAAUGAACUUUUGAUCAUGUAAAUGAGACAUAUUCGUAAGUUUAUAAAAAAAAGGAAAACUAAUGAAAAGACUUGAAAAUUUUGAGUUUUAAUGAUAAGGACAAAAUAAAGGGUAAAGUGAAUAGUACCAGGUUUGACUUUUUAGUGUAAAAAUGUGAUUUUUCGUUAAAGUGAACAGUACCGUGGGUUUUUCGUUAAAACUCCCUAUAAAAAAUGAUGAAGCUUAUGUGAGUGGACCAGAAUACAAUUUCCUGGUGUUUUCAUAGCAUAUGCACAAAAAAUUAAUGUCGAAAAAUAAGUUUUUUUUAAUGUAUAUAAGUAUAAUAUUUUCUCAUCUUCUAGUACAAGUUUUGUGCCUAUUCCACAAAAACAAAAACAAAAAAAAUAAAUAAAUAAACUUACAUUAAGCCUUCGAAUUCUAUUUUCCAACAUUAAGCCUAUGAAUUCACUCAGAAUAUAAAAAAAAAUUGCCUAAUAAAUAUAGACUAAUCAUAUUAGCUAAAACAAAUAUACUUUCCCAUAACCCUCAUUUUUGUGCAUAUUCUACCAAAAUGAUAGAAAAUUAUACUAUGAUCUUUUCACAAGAAAUUUCCGACUUUGUCAUUUAUUGUUAACCCAUUAUUCACGCAAACGGGUUUAAUUUAUCAAAGGAAGUAUGAUACACAUUAGUGAGAUUUGAAAGCCCAUGUGAGUAGAGAAAUAUAUAAUUUCCUUAUGUUUUCAUAGCAUGUUCACAAAAAAAAUUAAUGUUGUUGAAUAAAUUUUAUAUUGUUGCAGUCCUAUUGAAUAGGAAUGUGAUUGUAUAAAUCCUAGUAAAUAUGGGAAUGUAUUUUAUAUUCCUAAUAGGAGUAUAUUACCUAUUAAAUGUUGUAAAGGGAAAGGUUUUUACCUAUCCUACUACUAUAAAUAAAGGCAUAAUGGGGUGGAAUAGAACACACCCACAAUUACACACAUCUCUCUUCUUCUCUCCAUGUGCCGCAACCCUUCUCUCUCUAUGGCCUCCAUAAUUGUUCAGUAAAUUAUGUCUACAACACGUUAUCAGCAUGCUCUUGACGUUGCGCUAAUGAGAGUUUAUUCUUCAAUCAGGGGAGUAUUACGUUUUAAUCAUUCUUUUUUAUGAUUAAUUUAUUAUUUUGAAUUAAUCUACAUACUAUUGAUUCAAUUUAAUUUUUCUGUGUUGAACGUGAUACAAUGCAUUGGAGAUGCAAUUCCGGCUUUCCGAGAAGAAACUUCUACAAAUUCAAAGGCUUUUAUUUGUUUUCUGCCAAUCAGGUACGCUUAAAAUAAAGUAAGAUAUUUGAAUCAACCUUGAAGCAUGAAAACAUUCCCCAUGAUGCAUGAACGCCCCUAUGUUUAUAUUUUCCUUCCAAUAUAUAUAUAUAUAUAUAUAUAUAUAUAUAUAUAUAUUGUAUAUAUUUAUAUAUCUGUAAAUAUAUAUAUUUGUUUCAUGCAUUACGCAUAUAUGCUAUGUGGAAUUUGUGAGUUAAAGAAUCAAAAUAAAUUAGAAGCAUAUUAGGGUUUGUAGAACCCUAACAAUUUCGAAAAAAAAGGGGAACUUGGAUGCAAAAACCAGGCCUCGGCCUGGACGUCACCUCGGCAAGGCAUGAAGCCCCACGCCCCAAUUUGCUGUCUUGGUCCGAAUACCAGCAAGCUUAUGCUUGCUGGGCUCUGUGAAGCCCUAAACCCGUAUGCACCCUAAACAUAUGGCUUGCAUGCCGCAACCUUUUGGUUGCUGGGAUUGUGCAGCAGCAAAGGGCAUGUAGCCCUGGCAUUCUGUCUACGCCAGCAAGCCAUACAGCUUGCUGGGCCUUGCAGCAACCUAGCCCGUGUCUUCCACUGCCAGCCCAAAUUGGUUGGGCUUAAGUCCUUGCGGCCCGUAUCCCUGCAUGACGCCAGCCUUGUGGUUGGGCCUCCUAGGCGCAACAACCAACAGGUCAGCUUUGCUAGACCUGCACCGUGCCCCCUUGGUCCAAGUAUGAAACCCAGCUGUGGUUGGGGUUUCUCCCAUCCACCCCGUGGCCUGCAGCCACCAUCCAAUGACCUUUGGGCCGUGUCUUAUGCUUAAGACACCCACCCAUGCCCACAUAUUUUUGGGGCAUAUUUUUUAAUAAAAUGCUAUUAUUUAUCAUUUUAAAUAAUUUUAACCCGAAUGUUAUUAUUAUUUUUGCUUCUACAAUUGACCCUGUUUGGUCCCGAUUUAUUGAAUUAAUUAAAGUGACCUGCAAUCCAUUAAUUUGAUAAUGAAUCCAAAAUUAUUGACCUGAAGAUCACUUUUGGAGGUUAACGAUUCAAUAAUUUAUUUGUAUACUUUGAACCGUUGACUUACUUUCUUAGUCCCGAAGCACUUACACUUGAGUUCCCGAAGAACCUCAGAUCCACUACACUUAGUUGUAUAUUGCAUUAUGUGUUCUUCCAGGAACCUCUCUUUUAUGAACUAAACGUUCAUAAACUAAAUUGAACCUGUAGUUUCAAAUUUAGUGCCUUUGAAACUCGAAGAUUUCAUAAAACAAUACACCCAUGAAAACCCGACGUUUUCAUGAAAACCAUGGCUUAGAACUCGAAUGUUCUAACUUUGAUGCUUAUGGAUGAUUCAUUCCCAUAGCACCAAUCACAAUCUUGUUAUGUCCAAUUCAGUGGAUUAUCGAACCGUAACAAAUUCGAUUUUCCUGAUUUGGACGUUUCUAAAAGAAAACACUUUAUGUGGGGUACAAGACGUGAAUCUCCACUUGACUAUCAAGAAGCUAAGAAACCAUUGAAGCCAACAAUGGCAUGGAAGAGCUGAAUAAGCCUCUUCCAUGAUCUUCAUUCGAAGACUUAUGCCCAAAGCAUUACAAAUGGAAGUACCUCUUGCAUGAGGAUUCCAUGGCUCUUUGGCUCGCUCCUACAGACUGUUUAAUCAUGAAAGACAUUGCCUGAAGCACAUCAUGAUUAAGUCCAUGAAUGAAUACAAUUCUGAAGUUUAUAAAUCCGAUCGAAUUUUGACUGGAGAAUACUUUUCUCGUCCUUCCAUGUUUCUCACUCGCUCCUGAGGCAGCAGUGUAGAAAGCGGAAGUUUACCAAAUUCUCGGAUCUGAUUACUACCACAAAUGUGAGAGAACGGUAUAGAACCAGUUAGGUCAAAGCCUAACUAAAUGGUGAUGCACUGCUUCGGCAAGGGAUACACCAAAUGGCAUACUCUUUCACAUCCAAAUUCGAGUUUGUUUUUACAACAUAUGGUAGAAUCAAGGCCUGCCAAGGUGUGGCAUCAUGCCCGAAGCAUGAUCCUUGGUACCUUAGACCUAAAACUUCAAGAACAAGGGAUAUUAUUCCUAAACUUUAACCCUGCAUAAUCUACUUCCGUCUUACUGGAAUAGAUCAUUGGUUAUGCACAUGUUCGUGCCCCUGUUGUUGAGGAGUACCAUUCUAGUAGUUAAUAUGUGAGACUAAUUUUGCUCCACCAAACACCGUUGGAAUAGCAAAAUUUUGACAUGGAUGACCUUGUUGGCCAAAUCCCCUUAAUAAACCAUUUACUUUGUGAACAAUUUUCCAUGUUCUUUGAUUCACGUUUGGUGUAUGUUUUACUUAUGGAUAAUCUUAUUGAUAUUGUCCUCGAAUAUGAGUUAAUUGAAUCAUGUUUCUUAAUACAUGUGACCGAUUCAACUAAACACGUGAUUAGGUAGGAAUGUCAGAAAAUUAGUUGUCUGGAUGAAUCCGUACUACGCACACUAACUUUACACCUAAAUCACAUCUCUAACAACGACUUCAAGUCUAUCCAACCUGAUUAAGAGCAUUGGCACGCUCCUCAUUGUAUGAAUGGUACUAAAUCACCAUUUAAGGGACUUUAAAUUCUCCCUAACGUUGAGUUUUUAAGGAUAUUCGAGAUGACAAUGAUCAUAAAUGAAACCAAUGAAGAAAAUAGAGUGAAAUAUCUUUGCACCACCUCUAAAAAUGAGCCUACAGCUUUGAUUUAGGGCCAAUGGGUUGUCUCCCAACUGGGAACACGACACAUAUGGCCAGCCCGGAGCCAGGUGAUUGAGCAGUUUACUUGCUUUGGCACGAUCUUUUGGGACACUUAGGUCGAACAAUGAUGCUACAACGCAUCUCCUUACUUAAAGUAAGGAUCUUGUGCCUACAAGCACACUUUGCGAAGCCUGCUCAUUAAGAAAAUUGAUUUUCUAUAUCAUUCCUUGCAAAGAUACGACACGACUCUCUUUUCGUAGUGGAUUCAAGGGAAUAUUUGUGGACUAAUCCAACCAAAAUGCGGACCAUAUAAAUACUUAUGGUUUUGGUUGAUGAAUCGACAAACUGGUCACAUGUUUGUCCACAAACAUUACUGCUAAACCUCAUGGCCGAUUAAGAGUUCACCACCCUACUUAUCACUUAAGGUCCGGGAGACUGGAUAAUGUCGGAGAGUUUAUAUCGAUGGUUUUCGAUAAAGUAUUGCAUGUAUUUUGGGUUUAUAAUUGAACAUCAAAUUCCCAUGUUCACCCUAAAAUAGCCUCACCUAGCGAUCAUAAAGCACAAUUUAAAUGAUCACCCGAAUUUUGGUAAACGUGCCAAGUUUUCGGUUUCUACCUAGGGCUAUGCAAUCCUUGUACGCAGUUAUGUUGGCCGCCUUGAGGCCCAUUGCCACCCAACCUAUAUGACGUUAUAGUUGGUUACUGGGUACGAACCUGACAAUUUCGUAUUUAGGCAUUUGGGUGUGCAUUCUAUGUGCCAAGUUACGCCGCCGCAACGUACCACCAUGGGUCCUCAAAGAAGGAUGUGUAUCUUUUGUCGAUCAUGAUUCUCUUUCACACUAGCUCUCUUCGAGCCCUUGCAUGUGAUCUUUUUACCGUUCAUUUGCGGGUUGUCACUUUAAUGAGACAGUCUUCCCACCGUUAGGGGGAGAUAAGAACGUCAACGUUCAUGGAGAACGGCACGAAUUUGCGUGGACGUUGCCCACUAUGUCUCAUCUCAGUCCCCAUACCGCACAAGUAUGAUAAGCAAAUGCGAUGACUUCUAGAUUUCAGAAUCUUGCUCCAUAUGCAUUCAUCUGAUCUAGCUAAAUUGACGAGAUCAUAUACCAGCAACAAACAUGCCUACAAGGAUAGACGUACUUAACGGACGUCGAGUCAACAUCCCUGGAGGGUGUGCCACCCCUGUUGGACAGUUUGGACGCCUCUGUUGGACAGUCCUGUACACCGACGGAUAGCCAAUCAAUCUGUCUUGGCCUGGAGCACGACAGAUCAUUCGGUUCGUAGGAUUCACUUCCCUAAAAGAGGAAGAUAUGGCACAAUAAUGAAUCUAAACUCGAUCGCUAUCUCAAAUCAUUUCCAUCUUAUGAGAUUAAUCUGGAUUUCUCCCAAGACUUAAAGUUCUUGGUCUAGUAUACUAGUUUGGAUGAGCUAAAUGGAAUUGAAAUGAGAUUAUCAUCGAUGAUUUUUUCACUUAUAUGGUAGCUACCGACAUAAAUGAAAAGCGACGAUAUCAAACCGUGUUUCGUUGAUUAAAUGACAACGUAGAACUGAUUGGACAACUGAAAUUACAAUCUAGGUCAAAUUCCUUACCAAAGUGUGUAUUGAACCUGUCGUUCCUACACUGCCCAAGGUAACCCUAUUAUAUUACAAGUGGGAAAGGAAGCGUUAUGAGAUGAAUGAAAUAGUGCAAUAUGAUGCACGUCCUGUGAUUGAUAGCAGCAUUAUGAAAUAUGGUUAGUGUUUUCUCCAUGGGGAUAUAGAUAUGGAGAUUUACAUGUAAGUUCCUGAAGAAUUACAUGGACUGUUUCAAAUAGUUCCAAAACCGCGGAACACAUUCUUAACUCGUUUUAAGGCGUUCACUUAUGGAUUGAAAAAUCUGACGGAUGUGGUAUACCCGUCUAAGUGAUUAUUUGAUCAAUCAGGGAUAUGAAUUAUGCCCUUACAUGUUAAACUAUGAAGUCUUAUUCCAAAUUGCUAGAGUUACAUUUUAUGUCGUUGACACGAAUUUCACUAAGACUUCGGAAGAGCUUGAGAAAACUGCCUCGUACCUGAAUAUGGAAUUUGAGAUGAAGGAUCUUGGGAAAACUCGUUUUAUGCCUUGACUUGAAGUUGAAGCAUUGUUAUGACGGUAUUUUGAUCUACCAGUCGAACUACACCCUGAAUGUGUUACCUUUGAGUAUACCUAUGAUCGUCCAUAUGUUAUAAGCAAAUGAGACCCUUAAAGAGGUUAUGGAAUCCGAAAUUCCAUAUCUAAGUUCAACUUUGCGCUUCGUUGUACUUAGCUCAUUUUAUUUAGACAUAACAUCUCCAUCAUUGUUGAUCUUGGUAAAAAUGCAGCACUGUGCCUACACGCAACCACUGAAUUGGUAUUAAAGACGUACCCUGAAGGUACUACAUGGGCAAAUCCCAACGCAUCUUAGCAGAUCCAACCCCUCUGAUCCUCGAAAUGAUGUUUGCCUUGUUUGUUAUACUGAUGCAGGUUACUUAUCAAACCCGCACAAAGUAUUUUGGUGAUUGAACUAUUUGAUGUUUGGGGUAUAGACUUCAUGGGACCUUUCCCUUCUUCACAUGGCAAUCUCUACAUCUUGGUGGCGGUUGAUUAUGUCUCUAAGUGGGUGGAGGCAAUAGCUUCUCCAACAUGCAAAAGUUCUGUGGUGUUAGGUUUCUUGCAGAAUACUAUUUUUCCCCGAUUUGGAGUACCUCGUGCUAUCAUCAGUGACGAAGGUACGUAUUUCUUAAACCGCACCAUGGCUGCCCUUUGUGCCAAGUAUCAUAUUCACCAUCGCAUAGCCACCCUAUAUCAUCCACAAACAUCUGGACAAGUUGAAGUAUCUAAUCGGGAGCUCAAGAGGAUUCUUGAGAAAACUGUCAGUUCAUCUCGAAAGGAUUGGAGUUUAAAGCUUACUAAUGCUUUGUGGGCAUAUAGGACAGCUUAUAAGACACCAAUUGGGAUGUCUCCUUUUCGUUUGGUGUAUGGGAAAGCUUGCCAUCUGCCUAUGGAACUUGAGCACAAGGCAUAUUGGGCUAUUAAGCACCUCAAUUUUGACUACCAAGCAGCGGGAGAGAAGCGGAAGCUGCAGUUGAAUGAAUUGGAAGAAAUAAGGAAUGAUGUUUAUGAGAAUGCAAAGAUUUACAAGGAUAAGACCAAGAAAUUUCAUGAUGCUCACAUCCUUCGUAAAGAGUUUCAACCGGGUCAGAAGGUUUUGCUUUUUAAUUCGAGACUAAAACUAUUCCUAGGAAAGCUCAAAUCACGUUGGAAUGGUCCAUAUCGUGUUGUACAGGUCCAUCUUCAUGGGGCUGUGGAUAUCCAAAACAUGCAAACUGGUUUUGUCUUCAAAGUUAAUGGACAUCGCUUGAAGUUAUACAAGGAGUCUCUAUAUGAUCUUGCUAAGGAUUCCAUCACUUUGAAGGAACUUGUUAUUUGAAUCAAAUUGCCAACAGAAUGUCUAGCUCUAGACAGUAACUAAAGCGCUUCUUGGGAGGAAACCCAAGCUUUCUAUCUUUCAUCUUUAGUUUGAAUAAUUUUAAAUGUUCUUGUUCUGUUUUUUUUCUUGUUUUCUGGUUUGUGUGUUUAAGUCCUACUUUUGCUCCCUUAUGCAGGUAAUGAUUUUGCAAUCUCUACCACAACUUCUUGCAAAGUUUCUUAAUCCCACGGGUUACUCACACAUUUGUUAUGCAUAAUGGGACGUGUUGAAACAAGUUUGGGGAUGAUUUGGAAUUCUACCAUGGAACAAAAAUGCAUUUUUACUGCUGCUCUCCUCACCUACACAAAUUGGUGUGUUCUUUCCUUUUCUUUAUGUGUAUUGAUUUCAUUUUGUAUUUCUUUCCUUCAAUUUUUAUGUCUUAUUGUUAAAAAUUCCUUUCAUUAUCAUUGGGGACAAUGCUAUAAUUAAGUUUGGGGGUGGAAAUAUAUUUCAUUAGUUUUCUUCUUGUUUAAAAAAAAAAAAAAAAAGAAAAAAAAAACUAAUUAAAAAAAAAAUUGUAUUUUUGUUGUUGUUUGUGGGUAGUUCUCAAUUCAAUGAUGAGAUUUGAUCUUAAUUUCCUUCUUACUUCCAAGAAGUCUAAGUUAUUUUCGUUGUCUUUGUGUUAACUGUGAUUUCCAGCAAUCAACUUGAAAAAUAAAUGUGCCUAGUCUUGUCAAUGUGAAACUUGAGCAUGAUUUAGCGUUUCAUAUGUGAAUCAUGUGAGAUUAUGUAAACCUUGUGAGUUUUUUUAGUCUAUACAUGAUUGAACCAUUAUGCAUCAAUCUCAUUCCUUCUUGUGCGUAUGAUCUCACUGUACAUGUAUCUCUAGAACUUGCUUUAUAUUUCUCGAUUCAUUAAUCAAUUCAUGUAAUAACUUGGAAGUGAUAUAGGCCAUCUUUGGAUCGUUUGAGCCUUUCAUGCCUACCUUAUAUGUUAUGUGUGUCCGUAGUAGCCCGUUGAGCCUUUAACUAAGCCAUUUCUUUGUUAGCCACAUCUCUUUACCAUGCUCCGAUAUUGGAGUUGAGCCCAUACACAGAAAUCGAUUCCUAUUUGUUUUGAGAAAGUAUUACAUGGGUUGUGCUCUUGGGGGUUUCAUUUAUGUAGAAAGAUGGAUGGAGCAUGUGUAUUACAAUGAAAUGUGAAUUUGAUGGGUGAUGUAGCUUUUGCAUAUUUAUACAUAGCUUUGCAGAUUUGUUUCUUAAAAAAAAAAAAAAAGAAGAAGAAGAAAAAAAAAAGAAAAAGAAAAUUUGAGAGUGUUGAUUUGUUGAAAAUGUGUCUGCAGAGUAUAAAUUUCCUUUUGAAGUUGAAUUUGGGGAGUAACAAGUGCUCGAAGUUUUAUUAUUUUGCUUUCAAUUUGAGGUGGUGUGAUAUUGAGGUGUUGGAAAACUACUAAAGUGUACUUUCUCAAAAUUUUUGAUUUCCAUAUCCUUUCUUUCAUAUGCCUAUCACCUUUAGCCCCAUUACAACCGUAAUAAAGUCCUAUUGAUCCAAGGUAUUACUUAAAUAUUGAUAGCGAGUUAGGUGGACAAGCAAGCAUAUGGCGGCAUGUACAAUGAGAUCACUUGAGUGAAACACAUUAACCAAAACUUAUGAGUGAAUGAGCGUAUGUCUUGUGAGAAACUCACAUGUUUGCAUAUGAUGAUUUAAAGGAGCUUGGAAUUGCAUUGACUAGACUAGCUCACACAUGACAUUUCAAGUUUUGUUUGAAGGAAAUUUGGUUAACUAUUGGAUGAUGUAUUGAGCACUUGUUACUUACUUCUUGGCAGUGUAUUUCAUGGUUGGCACUUAUCUCUGAAAUCGAAUUUGAGAAGUUGCCUACUAAGUUGUUGAGUCAAGUCUUAGUUGAGUAGUUUUGUUUUGUUUUGUGUUUUGUUUUGCUAGAGGACUAGCAAAAAUGUAAGUUUGGGGGUAUUUAAUCACUCAUAUAUUUCAUGCAUUUAUACCAUCUAUUUCUAAAGUCUUUGUGAUGUUUUUGUGUUAAAAUGGUUGCAUUUUACCUUACCUUGUGUUAAUGUCCAGUUAAAUUUGCUUUAGGAUCAAUUUCAAGCAAAAAGGAGAAAAGAAAAUAAUAAAAACAAACAAAAGAAUUGGAAGUGAGGCUUGUCUUCCACUUGUGGCCUUAAUAACUUGGAAAAGAGGAGGGAACACACGGAAGUGGAAAAAAAAAAGAGAAAGGAAAAGGAAGGGGGAUUAUUCGGUUACCUAUAAAUAAUCAUCAUUUUAGUAGCCAUUGGUCUACCAUAAUUAAAUGAACAUAAUCCCACUAAGUUUCUCACAGAAUACUGACCCAAAAUUCAAAGUUGAAGAGAUCAUGUGAUGAGAACAAAUGAUGUCGCAGACCCAACAGAAAAGAUUGAAUAGAUUUUAAGCAUCAGUGAUAAGUCCACUAGCUAUUUUGGUUCAAUGCAGAUGGCUACACUCCUACUUUUUCCAUAAGCUUAAGCUAUUAGAAUGAAUUCUAUGUGUACGAAGGCUUGGACAAAGUGAAGAGCAACAGACGGACAGGAGAGCAGAAAAGAAGGAGAGGAAAAAGGAGAGAGUUGCAGGGAGAAGAAGAUGGCAGAAACAUAAGGGAGCCGCAGCUCCACAUGGAAGGAGGAGAAGGGCAGAUAGCUUCUUUGUAGAAAAAAGGGUUGUCUCUUUCUUUGUUUUUUUUUCAUGGAUAAUUUCUUAUGUAUUAAUACAAGUAUGUGUAACUAAUUUCUUUUCGCUAGAGUGAGGCCAUGAGCCGCAACAUGAAUACGUAGAUUUAUCUUUCAAUUGCUUAAGUGUUGUUACAUGCUUGCUUUGAUAUUUUCAAUCAUUGAAUUAAACUAUCUAUGUACCUUGAUGCUUGAUCACCAUUAGGAUGCUUAGAAAAGUUAUCGGAUGCAAUUUUGAACGAAUGUCACGUUAAAAUUGGUUGUGCUUCUUGUGAUUGAGGAUUGUACUCUCCUAAGGUAAAUAUCAUGCUCUUAGGGAUUACAUGGUUUAACAAAAGGAUUUUCACCAAGAUUAAUGAAUCAUUCAUGUUUAUAUUUAAUCCAAAUGUCAUGGAUAAGUUGCAUGUAGUGGUAUGUGUUUUAACUUGAAUGUCACAAGUAAAACAUACACAAGGAAAAUCCAACCUUCAAAGCAUGUGUAUUUUCAAUUAUUUAAGCAAUUGGAAUAGCUACGUAUGAGUGUUGUUGGUAAAGGUUGAACUCUAGCAUAUUGUCAAUCUAUUUUUCUUCAAUCAUUUAUUUUAUCUUGAAUUUCCUCAUUUACUUGUUUUGUUUAGUUGAAUCACUAUUCCUAUAAGCCAAUUCCCAUUUUAGAUAUUUGUUUAAGUCACAUCCAGUAGUAUUUAGUUUCGUCAAAUUAGUGUAGUUCUUAGAGUUAAAUAAGUUAAAUACACAAAAACUCGUAAAUUGUUUAUAUCAGUCCCUGAGGAGAUCGACCUUGCUUGAGCAAUUCUAUACUACAAACACUUGUUCUCUUGCAAGAAUUUUCUAUAGUUUAACCCUUGUUUUACAAGUGGAAAAAUCAUCAUCAUGCAACUUCUCACGUUUCUCCUUAGACUAUGGGUUUUUCUCUCACCUUAGGUUUUACCAUAGCGAGGUUUUGUGAGUUUUACUUUUUAUACAUUCUUCCGUUGAUUUGAGACUCGCAUUUGCUCAUUGUGCUAACAACUUCAUCAACUAUACUUGCUUCAUCACUGAAGACCAGAUGCGUCAUUUACUUGAGUAUUUACACACUCAAAGCGGAGUGUUGCAGUUCUAUUGGAAUAGGAAUGUGAUUGUGUAAAUCCUAGUAGAUAUGAGAAUGUAUUUUAUAUUUCUAUUCGGAGUAGAUUACCUAUUAUAUGUUGUAAUCCUAAAGGGAAAGGUUUUUACCUAUCCUACUACUAUAAAUAAAGACACAAUGGGGUGGAAUAGAACACACCCACAAUUACACAUAUCUCUCUUCUUCUCUCUAUGUGCCGCACCCCUUCUCUCUCGAUGGCUUCCAUAAUUGUUCAGUAAAUUAUGCCUAUAACAUAUAUGUAUAUAAUUAUAAUUUCUCAUCUUCUAGUAUACCAAAAGAAAACCAUAUAGUAGCACCUUCACAAUAAAUUUUCUAACUUACACUAGGCCGAUGAAUUUACUCACAACAAAAUAUUUUCUUCUUUAAACAGAGGGCAAUUUUGUUAUAUUUUGUCGAGUAUACUGCCGAUUUGCCCCCUGAACUAUCACCCAACUUUCGAUUUCCCCCCUGAACUUUUUAAUUGGAAAAUUAAGGACUUAAACUAAUUUUUUUGGCCGAUUUGCCCCCUGCUGUCAAUUUUUCAUUCAUUCCAUCCAAAUUUUUGUUAAAUAGAAGCAUAUGCACAACAUGUGUGGGUAGUUCGGUCGCUUCAUUCUUUAAAAUAAUUGAAAGCCUUAGAUUUCUAAAAUAUAAACCUAUGCAAAUAUGUGUGAUUCUAUAGCUUUUGUAUCUAAAGGUCUAGUGAAAUGACAUUUUUGUCCACAAAUGAGAGUUACGUGGUUUGCACAUGAUAAGAGUUAACAUUAAUUUGGAUGAAAUCUAUGAAAAACUAACUGUAGGGGGGAAAUUGGCCAAAAAAAAUUAGUUUAAGUCCUUAAUUUUCCAAUUAAAAAGUUCAGGGGGGAAAUUGAAAGUUGGGUGAUAGUUCAGGGGGCAAAUCAACAGUUUACUCUAUUUUGUCCCAUGCCAUGCCAUCAAUACUAAUUUCACAGGCUUGAGAAAUACGAGAGAGAAAUUUUCCAAAUUUCAGUUUUAGACUUAGUUUUAACUACGCCCAGUGGAGUUUGAUUUUCAUCUUACUAUGCUAUUGUAACUCAAAAAUCGUAAUUUUACUCCUGAAACUCAAAAUUAGCUCCACUUUACCCCUUGAGACUCGAUUUUGGAUCCCAUUUUACACCUUGAAACUUAAAAUUGUUAUUUUACUUUAUAAACCUCAAAAUUCGCUCUAUAUUACCUUAAUUUUGUUAUGUGAGAUGUUACUACACAGUGGAGAUUAAUUUUAUUUACUGUUGGUUUCAUUAUUUUACUAUAUAAAUUUUGAUUUUAAUAUUUUUUAUUUAUUAUAUAUUAACACAUAAUGAAGAUUUAUAAUCAGAGAUGGAUCUCACUCAAGACACUAUAGUUUUUUGAAUUUUAAAGUAUAAAAUAGUGACUUUCAAAAUUUCAGCAUGAUAAAAUAAGACCAAAAUUAAGUUAUAAGGUGGCUUCGUGUUUGUCCAACAUUUUGUUUUUUUCUUUGCAAUUUCAUCGAAGAAGUCGCUUUGGAAUCAUGAAAAGAAAAAACGCCAAAUCGUAGUUGCUUGUUAUUUCAACUUUUUGUAUUCUUUCCACCUUUCAACACACUUUCAUUUAUGUUACUCUGCCAUGCGUUGUCUGGGAUUGCAGGACGUUUCCAAGAAACGAUGCGGUAGAAUAAUUGAAGGCCGUCAGCUGUUUCCCAACCCUUUUUUAUGAGGACAAGGAUUGUCUGCCGUCCACUUCCGAUGUCCUUUUCGUGUCUUUUUAUUUUUUGUAAUCAUGGUUAAAUCACGUUAAUAUUUUAUAUUUUUUUUAUAGAUAUAAUAAGACAAAAAAUAUAAAAUGUUGACGUAACUUAACUGUGAUCAUACAAAUAAAAGGGCACGAAGAGGACAUCGAAAAUGGAGGAUAGACCAUCCCUAUCAUUUUUAUGGAUGUAUUUUUGCUCAACAUCUUCGAGUGAUGCUACGGAGACUCGCUCGUAAUGCAACUCUUCACCGAUUCACUAGACACGCAAGGAUUAUUUUAGAAUCUAUUGUGAUGUAUGGGUCCCACUAAUAAAAUAUAAAAAAUGAAGGUUAGAUUGAAAAACUAAGAUUUAAAUCCUCACCGGAUUCCUUCUUUAGGAAUCUAGGAAUCAACGCACGUUAACCGUUGGUAAAAAAUUAUAUAGAAAACUUCAUUUUAAUCCUUAAAAAAGAUAAGAUUUAGAUUAUAACCAUAUAUAAGAUUAAAAUCCAAUUUUAGUCCCUAGCACAUUUAAUCAUAUCAUUUAUUAGUUGUAUUUUGAUGUUUUAUUUUAUCUUUUUAUUUUUAUUUUAAUGUAUUAGUUACAUUUAAAUUUAAUUUAUAUUUCAUUCAUCAUAAUAUAUUUUAAUGUCUACAUUUAGGCAACUAAUUUUUUUUAUAAUAUAUAUUCCGAUAACAAUUUUGUAUGUUCUUCAUUUAGGUACAUUAAUACAUUUGAAUAUUUUGGUAUAUCCAUCGGUACAAACAUGUAGUUACAUUGAUUCAAUAUAAUGCAUUUUGGUCAAUAUAAUGUAUUUCGUUACAUACACUUUGGUACACAUAUUUGAGUAUUGACUUUUAGGUACAUUAAUUCAAUUAUUAUAUUUCGGUAAAUUCAUUUAGGUACAUACAUUUUGGUACUAAUAUUUAGCUACAUAUAUUUUUGGUAUUGAUAUUUAGGUAUAUACAUGUUGGUACAUACAUUUUAGUAUUAACAUUUAGCUACAUUAAUUCAAUAUAAUAUUUUUCGGUACAUACAUUUAGGUUCAUUAUAAUAUAUUUCGGUACAAUCAUGUCGGUACAAAUAUUUCAGUACAAAAAAGUCAAUUUUAUAUAUUUUGGCACAAUCAUUUCUGUACACUUAUGUAUUUAUAUAUUUUUGUAUCACAAAUUUCUUUUAAUAUUUUCUCAUUUACAUUCAUUUCUAAUUCAAAAAAACUAAAUAUGAGCAUAUUAAUAAAAUUAAAAUUUAAUAUGGAGAGAUUAAAUAAAAAUAAACAUUAAAUAACAAAAAUUGAAUGUAAAUUUUGAUAAAAGUACACUCAAGGGAUUAAAUUGAAUAUUUAAUCUAGCACCAGGUUUUUUUUUUUAAUUUUAAUCUUUUGCAAUGACUAAUGUUCAAAAACCCCAAAAUUAUAUGGCUCCAAUUAAAUGUUUUUUAUAUUUUUAAAAGUAAAAUAAUCUUGUUUUGCGUAAAAAAUGUAAGGCUUAAAUAUUAAAAUGGUCAAUGUGUUUUAGUCAUUAGGUCAAUCCAAUCCUUGUGUUUUCAAUUUGGCCAAGCUUGUCCUUGUAUUUAUCUUCGUUAGCCAAUUAAAGACAUUUUCAUCUAAUUUCAGUAAACUUUUUUUAUAAAUUAUGAUAAACUUAUUUAUAAAACUAUUUAUUUGAUUUAAAAUAUUUAAAAAUGAAAUAAAACUAAAAAUUUAAAGAAAAAUGAUUCUUCUUCCAAUUUUCCCACCUCCUCCCUAACAUUACCCUCUCUCUUUUCUAUGUCAAAACCUUAAUCAUUUUUCAGAUUGGAAGUUUUAUCUCUUAUAUGUGUUAUUUCUAAUUAAUUUGCAUUUUUAUGUAAAGAUAAAGGGUAAUAAUAUAUAAUAUAAUUGUUCUUAUGAUUUUUUUAAAAGAUAUUGAAUAAAAUGUCCUUAAUUGGCUAAAAGAGACAAACACGAGGACUAAAUUAGCCAAAUAAAAAACACGGAGACUAAAUUUUCCAUGUGACUAUAGCACAAGGAUCAUUUUGACAUUUAAGCCAGAAGGAAAAAAUUGUGGUCGCAUGAUUUUUUAUCAACGGUCUACAUGCGUUGAUCCCUAAGAUCCCCAGGGAGGGGAUCCGGCGAGGAUCCAAAUCCGAAAAAUUGUAUCUUUUGCCAUUUCCUUCUUCUGUGUCUUCCUCACCUCUCAAACGAUAAAUUUUGUUAGAUUAGAUGUUAGAUUAGUCAUUGUCAAAGUUCGACUCACGCCAUAAUUAUUUUCUCUAAUUGAGCUCUUGAAGUAUUUUUGUAUAAAACUAUAACGAAUAUUAUACAUUAGUAGUUGAUUGGCCUAAUUGGAUUAAUAGUUUCUGUAGUGAUAUGAUAGUUGGAAGAUAGCCUAUGUGGGGAAAAAAACUAGGAUUUAAGCCUAUGUGGUAAAGUCUAUUAGGAUUUAUGCCUAAAAUUGAAAGUUUUGUCAACUUUAUGUUAAUUAUUAGCACGUUCCACACAUGUUAGGCUAAAACGGAACUCUCCAUACACAUACUAAGCUAAAACGGACGUGCUAAUAAAUAACAAAAAGUUAACAGAAUUUUCAAUUUUAGGCAUAAAUCGUAACAAACUUUACCACAUGAGCUUAAAUCCUAGGUUUCGGUUUUAGACUUAGUUUGUAGCUACACCUAGUGGAGUUUGAUUUUAAUUUUAUUAUGCUAUUGUAACUCAAAAGUCACAACUUUACUCCUGAAACUCAAAAUUCGCUCUACUUUGCCCCUUGAGACUCUAUUUUGGAUCCCAUUUUGCUCAUUGAAACUUAAAAUUGUCAUUUUACUUUAUAAACUUUAAAAUUCGCUCCAUAUUACCUUAAUUUUGUUAAUUUUGUUAUGUGAGAUGUUACUGCACAGUGGAGAUUAAUUUUAUUUACUGUUGGUUUCAUUAUUUUACGCUAUAAAACCCGAUUUUAAUAUUUUUAUUUAUUGUUGUUAACAUAUAGUCAAGAUUUAUAAUCAAAUUUAUUGACACAUGUAGCGUAGUUUUAUUCAGGAAUGGAUCUCACUCAAGAGACUAUUGAGGUUUUUGAAUUUUAAAGUAUAAAAUAGCGACUUUCAAAAUUUCAGCAUGAUAAAAUAAGAUCAAAAUUAAGUUAUAAGGUGGCUUCGUGUUUGUCCAACAUUUUGUUUUUUCUCUGCAAUUUCAUCGAAGUCGCUUUGGAAUCAUGAAAAGACAAAACGGCAAAUGGUAGUUGCUUGUUAUUUUAACUUUUUGUAUUCUUUGCACCUUUCAAUACGCUUUCAUUUAUUUUACUCUGCCAUGCGUUGACUGGGAUUGCAGGACGUUUCCAAGAAACAAUGCGGUAGAAAAAUUGAAGGCCGUCAGCUGUUUCCCAACGGAUGUAUUUUUGCUCAGCAUCUUCAAGUGAUGCUACGGAGACUCGCUCGUAAAGCAAGUCUUCACCGAUUCACUAGACACGCAAGGAUUAUUUUAGAGGACAAGGAUUGUCUGCCCUUCAUUUUCAUGUCUUCUUUAUGUCUUUCUAUUUAUGUGGUCACGGUUAAGUUACGUCAACAUUUUAUAUUACUAUUCAUUUUUGUCUUAUUAUAUAUAUAAAAAAAAUAAUAUAAAAUGUUGAAUUAGCUUAACCAUUAUCACACAAAACAGAAUGGCACGGGAAGGGAACCGAAAGUGAAGGGCAGACAAAAUGUGUUGUGAUGUAUGGGUCCCACUAAUAAAAAAAAAAUGAAGGUUAGAAUUGAAAAACUGUAUCUUCUGCCGUUUCAUUCUUCUGUGUCUUCCUCACAUUUUAAAAGAUAAAUUUUAUUAGAUUAGAUGUUAAAUUAGUCAUUAUCAGAGUUCGAAUCACGCCAUCAUACUUUUCUCUAAUUGAGCUCUUGAAGUAUUUUUGUAUAAAACUAUAACGAAUAUUAUACAUUAGAAUAGAUAGUUGAUACGCCUAAUUGGAUUAAUAGUUUCUAUGGUGAUAGAGUAGUUGGAAGAUAGUCAUGUGGUGAAAAAAACUAGGAUUUAAUCCCCUAUGGUAAAGUCUAUUAGGAUUUAUGCUCAAAAUUGAGAAUUAUGUCAAAUUUCUGUUAAUUAUUAUCACGUGCCACACAUAUUAGGCUAAAACGGAACUCUUUAUACACAUACUAAGCUAAAACGGACGUGCUAAUAAUUAACAUAAAGUUAAUAGAAUUUUCAAUUUUGGGCAUAAAUCGUAACAAACUCUACCACAUGAGCUUAAAUCCUAAUUCUUUUCUACGGAGGUUAUCUUCCAACUGUCAUUUCACCACGGAAACUAUUAAUCCAAUUAAGCCUAGUUGAUAUUUCCAAUAAAAAGAGAGAUGAUUUUAUUAAUCAACAUUGAAGGUUUUGUGUAUAUUCUAUGAAGGCAUAAGGGAAUUAUACUAUAGUCUCCUCACAAAAAAUUCUUAGCUCUAUCAUUUUUCGUUUACCUAUAAUUCACACGGACGGGAUCAAUUUAUUAAGGGAUAUAUGAAACACGUAAAUGAGAUAAAUUCAUAUGUGCAUUAAACAUGACAUAGUCAAUGUGCAAUUUAAAUUUAAGAAAAGAAAAUUAUACUUACAAGACAUGAAAAAUUUGUUAAUCAACGUUGAAAUUUUUGUGCAUAUUCUAUGAAAAAAAAUAUGGAAAUUAUACUAUCAUCUCCUCAUAAGAAAUUCUCAACUAUGUCAUUUUUCGUGAAUUUGUGAUACACUCUAAAUGAGAUGGAUUCUUCAAUAAACUUUUGAUAAACAUAACUGAGACAUAUUCAUAAGUUUAUUAAAAAUGAUGAACCUCACUGAGUAGGCUAGAAUGCAAUUUUCUUGUGUUUUCAUAGCAUAUGCACAAAAAAUUAAUGUUGAAAAAUAAGUUUUUUUUAUAUAUAUAUUUUUAUGUAUAUAAGUAUAAUAUCCUUUUCAUCUUCUACUACAAGUUUUGUACAUAUUCUACAAUUUCAAAAAAAAAAAAUUAUAUGUAUAUAAGUUUAGUUUCUCAUUUUCUAGUAUACCAAAAGGAAACUAUAUAGUAGCAGUUCAUAAUAAAUUUUCUAACUAACUUACACUAGGCCUAUGGAUUUACUCGCAGCAAAACAUUUUGGACUUGGAUUCUCUGCCCUCCCAUUUCGGUGCCCUCCCCGUGUCCUCCUGUUUUGUGUGGUCACGGUUAAUACAUGCUAACAUUUUAUAUUGUUUUUUAUAAAAAUAAUAAGACAAAAAAAAUAGUAAUAUAAAAUAUUGACGUGGCUUAACCGUGACCACACAAACAAGAGGGCACGGGGAGGGCACCGAAUUAGGAGGGCAGAGAAUCCAAGUCCAAACAUUUUCACCCUUAGACAGAGGCAAUUUUGUUAUUUUUUGAAAAUUGAACCAUAAGGGCUUCUUCCUUAAUAAUAUUAGAUGAAUAUAAUAUUUUUCAUCUUCUAGUAUAAAUCGUGUGCAUAUUUUAUGAAACCAAAAAGAAAUCAAAUAGUAAUCUUCGAAAAUUUGAACAUACAUGUAAAAAGUAUUUUGAGCUACAUUAUUGCUAGCCCAUUGUGAAACUAAACUCAUUUCAUCUCCUUAGUAUAUAUAAUAUCAUUUGUUAAAAAAAAAUAUUGGUAUAAGGAAUGCUAACUCAUCUCAAGGUUAAGGACUUAAAGAGGGGGUCUUUGUCUUUUUUUAUUUUUUUUAACAGAUCGUUCAUAAAAAAUGAUUGCCGACAAUGAAAUUCAAACCAAACGCUUGAUCUAGCAAACAAAGCGAUCACUAUAAACCCCUAAAAUUAGAACAUUGUGUCCAUAAUAAUCAAUUGAAAUUUAGAGAGCGGAAAAUGCUACAGAGACUCACUCAAAAAUUGAAAUUUAAAUAACAAUUAAACUUAACAUUUUCUCUGUCUUUGCUCUACCUACCCAUAGGAAGUUCAGGAACGCAAAAGCAAAGUGCUUCUGAAAAUUCCAGUCGUUCAUGCCAACUCCGACCAUGAAAUUGGUAACCGUGGCUAAAAGUCGCAAACACACUAUGAAAAACUUCCCUAAAGCCCAGAUCUGAAUCUUGUAACCGGACAAAAAAAAGUGAAGUUUGAAUCGUAACAAAAAAGUUCAUAAUUUCCUUAACUUUGUCUUUUAGAAUUCGAUUUUUUUUAUUGCAUUGUGCUUCUUGAAAUUUAAAAAUUGUCAUUUUACUCUAUAAAACACAAAAUCUGCCUUACAUUGUCUUAAUUAUGUUAAUUCUAUUAUGUGAAAUGUUAAUGCAAGGUGGAAUUUAUUUUAUUUUCGUUUGAUUUUGUUAUUUUACUCUAUGAAACUCGAUUUUAUUAAAAAAAUUAACACAUAAUGUUGAAUUAUAAUCUAAUUCAAUGACACAUAUAGCAUAAUCUUAUUGAGGGGUGGGUCCCCUAUAUAUUUCACAAGGUGACCAUUGAUUUUCAGGGAGAAAGAAAAUUUAAAAGUUAAAAUAGAACAAAUUUUGAAUUUUAAAGAGAAAGAGAUGAUUUUUAAGUUAUACAGAACAACACAAGAUCAAAAUAUAGGGAACUUUAACAAAAAGCAUCCGGUACUGUUCACUUUAACGAAAAAUCAUAUUUUUACACUAAAAAAUCAAUCAUGGUACUAUUUAUUUUACCCUUUAUUUUGUCCUUAUCAUUAAAACUCAAAGUUUUCAAAUCUUUUUCAUUAGUUUCCUCAAAAUUUAAGGUAGGUGCGCGUUUGUUCAACAUUUUGCUUUUUCUUUACCAUUUCUUGGAAGUCGAUUUGGAAUCAUGAAAAUAAAAAAGGCCAAAAGUCAGUUGCGCGUUAUUUCAACCUUUUGUAUUCUCUGCACCUUUCAACACGCUUUCAUUUACUUUACUCGGCCUUGCAUUGACGCGGAUUGCAGGACGUUUCCAAGAAACGAUACGGUAGAAUCAUUGAAGGCUUUAGCUUUCCUUUUCUAUGGAUGUAUCUUUGCUCAACAUCUUCAAGUGAUACUACGGAGACUCGCUCAUAAACCAGGUCUCCAAAAGGCACGGUGCUUUUCUCUCCAGAGCUUCCUUCCUUCCUCUGUGUCUUCCUCACCCCCACCCUUUCUCCUCCCCACUCUCUCCCCUCUCCGAUGAAACCCAGAAGGCACUCUGCUUUUCUACACAGGAGGAUCGGUGAAGAAGAUGGAGAAGGAAGGAUGAAGUUUCGAGGGACCCGUCUGCAGAUGGAAAGACGGAGAGAGGAUUUUUAGUUUUUUAAUGAUUUUAAUAGUGGGGAAGUUGAAACACGUAUUUUAAUUCCAUCUGAAUUUGUGAGGAUUUCAAAAUUCACGUUCAAUUUCUUUAUUGUGAAUCGUACAAUCAGAUAUUAUUUUAAAUUUUUAUUAAAAUUAAAUACGGACAGAAAGUCCUGCGAAAUGACACGACAACUCUAACAAACGCACUAGAACUAUUAAAUAUGUUUGAUUAUUAUUUUCAAAUUCUUGAUUUUUAUUUAAUUUAACGUAUAUAGAGGGAAGGCUAUCCCAUUCCAAGUAAAUGGCAUAUUACAAGUUUUUUUGACGAUUUAUAAAGGGGUAUACUACAAGUUUUUCUGAAGAUUUAUAAAGGGGUAUAUUACAAGUUUCUUUGGAAUUUUGCAGAGCAUUCACCAAUAAGGUGUUUUUUUUUUUUAUCAAAUGAUAAAUUUGUUAGAUUAGAGAACCGACAUAAUUCGAAUUCAUACUAUGAUAUAUGAACAACACUUAUCUUCACCACUGUUAUAAAAUCCACUUAUUUCACUAAGAAAAGUUGUCGGAUGCGAAAUUCAAACUUGGAUUUUGGUCUAAUAAAUGUAGUUGAAUAUACUUUCCCUUAACACCCAAUUUUAUGCAUAUUCUUUGAAAAUGCAAGAAAAUUCUACUAGUCUUUUCACAAGAAAUUCCCAACGUUAUCAUUUACCGUCAACCCAUUAUUCACGCAAUUGAGUUUAAUUGCGUGUUUGUUCAACAUUUUGUUUUUUCUUUACCAUUUCUCCGAAGCGCUCUGGAAUCAUGAAAAGAGAGAAAAGGCCAAAUGGUAGUUGCGUGCUAUUUCAACUUUUUUGUAUUCUCUGCACCUUUCAACACGCGUUCAUUUAUUACGAUUGGGUGAUAUUACUCUACAUUCUAAAUAUUUAUUUAAUUUAAACUAUAGAGAGGGAGGCUACCGCAUAUUACAAGUUUUUUUUAGGACUUGCAGAUGGAGUUUUAGCAUAUAUUUUGAAUUUUACAGAUCGUUCAACAAGAAUAAUUGUAAGUUGCAAUAUUCGAACUUAGAUAUUGAUCUAAAGAAGAAAACAAUCAUUAUCAACUUUCAAAAUUAGAAUAACGCGUCUAUAAUAGUUAAUUGAAAUUUAUAAAAUUAUCUACAUAAAAUGAGGGUAGCAGAGAUGAAAAUGCUUUAUUGGAUGUGUAGGCACACGAGAAAUGAUAAGAUUAGGAAUGAUGAUAUUCAAUGUAAAGUAUGAGUAGUCGAAAUUAAAGAAAAAAUGAGAGAAAAUCAGUUACGGUGAUUUGGACAUAUGAAACGGAGAUCUAUUGAUACUCCAGUUAGAAUAUGCGAUUAUGAAAUAGAGUUUUAGGGCCAAAGGGGUAGAUGAAGAGACUAUAAAAAAAUACUUAAAGUACUUGAAUCUAACGGAAGACAUAAUACAGAAUCGAGCAUAAUUCGUAUAGCCGAUCUCAUUUAGUAAGAAAUUUUUUUAUGGGUAAAUUACAUAGUAGCCCAUCAAGUUUGAGGUCUAUUACAACCCCAUACAACAUUUUUAAAACAUUUCACUUUCAUACCUCACUUUCUAUUUUAUUUCAAAAUACAUUUUUAAAACAUUUCACUUUCAUACCUCAUGUUCUAUUUUAUUUCAAAAUAAUACAUCCGUUACAUUUUUCAUCCAUUGAUCCGUUAAGUGCUGACGUGGCUGUCAUAUUUAUGUCACAUGGCUACCAAAUGUGUGCCAUGUGGCAAAAAAAAAUAAUUUAAAAAAACAAAAAAACCCUAAUCUUCUAAAUAAAAAAAAAAAAAAAAAGGUUAGAAAAUCUAAAUCUCAUCACCCCACCCCUACCCCCAUACCUGAGCCUUAAGGAAAGAAGAAGAACCAGGAACAUGGAACCAUGAUCUUCUUCCAUCCGUCGUGCGCAUCCAUCCUCCACCUCCUCCUCUGCACCCAUCUCCACCUCCUUCGUGCACCCAUCUUCCGCUCCCCCAACCCGAGCCUAACCUGCAACCCAUAAAGAAGGAAGAAAAAAUAAAAUAAAAUAAAAUAAAAAACCCAGCGCACCCACCCUUCGCCUUAAAUCCACUCAUUGGGGAAGACGGGAUCUGGGUUGCAGGGAAAGGGAGAUGGGUUUUUAUUUUUUUUCUUUUCUUUUCUAGGUUGCAGGUAGUGGGUGCAGAGGAUAAGGUGGAGGAUGGGUGUACUGUGGGUUUGGGGAAGACAGGAGGGGGAAGAAAGGGGUGGGUUGCAAGGAGGGGGGGUUGGGGAGGAUGAAGAUGCGUGUUUAUUUAUUUUUAUUUUUAUUUUUUGCCUCUUCUCUUCUUCUUCUUAUGGGUUGCAAGUUGGGUGGAUGGGGGUUGCAGGUUCAGCUUUUGUUUUUUAUUUUUUUUGAUUUUUUGUAUUUUUUAGAAGAUUUAGGUUUUUUAAAAAAAAAAUUAAAAAAAAAUUGCCACUUAGUACAAAUGUGGCAGCCAUGUUAGCACUUAACGGAUCAGAUGGAAAAAGUAAUGGAGUUAUUAUUUUGAAAUAAAAUAAAAUGUGAGGUAUGAAAGUACAAUAUUUUAAAAAUGUUGUAUGAGGUUAUAAUAGAUCUCAAAUCUAAAGAAUUAUUAUGUAAUUUACCUUUUUUUUAUUGUUAUUCUUGUAGUUGCGUGUUACGUCAACUUUUUGUUUUCUCCCUACAAUUUCUUCGAAGUUGCGAAAUAUAAUGGAAUCAUAAACAAAGGAAAAAGACCAAGUCUUCGUUUACUUUGUUUAGGUCGCCCACGAGGGCCACUACCCCCUUUAUUAUUCUUAUUAUUGGUGCUGGUGGUUGUGGUUGUUGUCAGAUCGCAUUUCAAAUGAAUCUAUACGUUUUCUUUUACUUUACUCAGACGUGUGCGUGGGCUCAGAUUCCAAAGAAGUCUUUAUCUGAACCCACGCAUACCUAACCAUUUCAUACAAUUUACCGUAAAUUCUGUCCCUUUUUAUACAAUUUACUGUAAAAUUCCCCGUGUCUCUUUCUUACCUCGUUCGUUUAGGUAUAUAUAAACCUGUGCUAACAAUAUUAUUCAUCAGCCAAGAAGAGAUUCCGUAAGAGAAAAUAAAGUUUUGAGUCGUUUUAUUCACUUAAAUAUGUCUGUGGCUUCAGUCGGCGUGGGUGCCCUGAGAACGGCAUUUCAAAUGCUGUUUGAUGCGGUAAAAUCAGUGCAGGAGGAGACUACUAUGUUCAAGCACCUCCUCGGAGACAUCAAAUCCACACUGAACUCUCUGCAGCCACUCAUCCAAGAGAUUGAAAAAUAUAACUCGAAAGAGGGACUGGAAUAUUUUACAGUACAAAUGGAGAAGGGAGCAGAUCUUGUUCAAAAGUGCAGCAAAGUUGGCGUGUGGAAAAAAUGCAAAUACACCAAGAAGCUCCAUCAACUGGAAAAAUCUCUUCGAAGAGUGUUUGAUGAACUCAAACUGCAGGGCGUAAGGGAUGCGAGGGAGACGUUGGUUUCUCUCAGGAAUAUCGAGACGGCGUUCUCUCGAAUAGAAAAGAAUUUGGUGAUGAAAAGUAAUCAACCUGAAACGGUAAAUGUUCGUAUGCGGUGCCUGAACCCCCAUCCGUUACAGUCGGGUUGGAUUUGCCGUUGAGGGAGUUGAAGAUGAAGCUCCUUAAGGAUGAAAAGGUUUCGAUGCUUGUGCUUACAGCUGCUGGAGGAUGUGGGAAAACAACCUUGGCUAAAAAGUUUUGUCAAGAUCAAGAAGUCAAAGGUAUGCUAUCAAUGAUUUCAAUUUUUUUUUUUUGUGAAGUGUUAACUUCCUAGAUAGUUAAAAAAUUAUGUAGAUGAUGCAAUUUAGUAUUACGGUAUGGUGAUAUUUAUUUUUAUUGAUAAUUGAUAGGUUUUAAAUUAGAUUCUUGUUACAGACGAAUUUAAACUACAUUAUUGCUAACUUAUUGUAAGGUUAAAUCCAUCAGUUUAGAUUUUUCUAAAAAAGAAAAAACAUAUAGAGGAUUAGACGAGCAAAAGUAUGCACUAUGGCCAAGACCCCUAUAAAACGCCCGCUAGUCCCUCCAAGUAUCCACACCAACCCAAAUUUGUUCAAGAGAAUACAAUGUACAACGAAGGGGACAUGAAACUAAACCAUGCGAAAGCACAAAGCCGGUCCUUAAGGUAGUCUGUGCAGGUGCCGCCUAAGGCCCCACUUCGGAAGGAUCCCUAAAAAAUUUAUAUGUUGUGUAAAUAACAUAUAAAGAAAAAGUAAAAAAAUAUCAUAAUUCAUUUGUUGGUAUAGUGAAAAUAUUCAGCUGCCUUUUUCUUUGUGGUGGGAAUCGAAACAUAGAGUUGCCGUUUUAUGGUCACUAGUUUUUUCUUGUUUUUCAAAUUUACUCACAAUUCAUUUGUCCAAAUGCAUAUAAGGUAUAAAACUCAAGUCACUAUGCAUCUUUUUUUUUUUUUUUUUUUUUUUUUUUUCAAUUUCCCAAUCUCUUCAUUUCUAUAGAAUGUUUAAAUCAACUAUCACAUAGUCUUGAAGAUUGUACUUUAAGGUAAUAAAAAUUUUGAAUUAAUAUUUUGGUUUUUAAUAAUUUAUUAUUCAAUGAAGUAUUUCAAUAUCCGAUUCAUUAGUAUGAUGUUGUAGAAAAAACAAAAGAGAAACAAUUGACGUUGUUGAAUUUAUUAUACUCGUCAAUCAAGUUUUAUUGUUCUUUACUCUCCUGAUCAUCAAGUUUUAUUAUUUUUCACUCUCAAUCUUAAAACUUUUAGACUUCAAACAUUUAGUACAUUUGCGUUUAAAAAUGUGAGACGUGUAAUAUUUAAAUAAUGUUUGUAUAUCUAUUUUCUUUUGAUAUUAAUUUUUAGGGGCUUUUAAAUCCAGGUCCAAAAAUAUAGAUGGUUGUUAGGAGUGAGUCCAGUUAUCCAAUUACAUGCUUUUAUUUUUUUUUAUGCUCAUUUUAUAUUUGCUAAAAAUAUUAAAAAUCAAUUAAAAUCUUAUAAUAUUAUGUAUUUUCCAACUCCAAAAAAUCUAAUUAAUAUCUUAUAAUGAAAAAAAACUAACAUACUUAACAUAAAUCUAUCUGGUAAACAUUGUACCUGAACUCAAGUAACAAAUAUAUGAAGAGUGUUGAUAUUCUCACCCGGUGUCUUAUUUCCUCACCAUUUAACAAAAAUGUUAAUGACAUGUUUAACCUUUUUAACGAAGACUUUUAAACCUUAUUUAAUUAAUUACUAAAAUAUUUAAAAAAUUAUAAUAUAAAAUAAUAUAUAAAUAAUCAUGGGUGGGGUGUGAUAUCUGCAGUGGAGAGAGGCUGGGAAAGAUUUGGGCUACAAUGGGUAUAAAGGUUGGGAGAAGGAAUAGGUGUGUGCUAGAUGGAGGCGAGAAACUUCAAUGGAGUCUCUGCGGUGCGGUGAUAGGUGUGAGUACUAGGGUUUGACUCGGGGGAAAUGGAAUAUCGGUGAAAAUAGAGGGUGGGGAUCUGGAAAGAGAUCCGGGUGGUAUAUUUGAGUGGGAAGAGAUAUUGCGAAAGCGAUGCAAUGAUUUUAAUGACAUGCAUGAUUUGAAGGAGAUGAUGAAUGUCCAAGUUUGCAUUUUUUUUCUACUUCAGUUCUCCGUUUUUAUUUAUUUAUUUAAAUAUUAUUUAAAGAUAUAUUAGAGUUAUUUAAAACAAAACAUAUUAGGGUUAUUUUGAGAUUAAUGGUGGGUGGGAUUUACAUUUUACUUUUUUAACUUUUUGUGAUUGUGAGUGGGAAAAUAGGACAUUAGGGUGGGUCUAAUAGGACACUGGGUGGGAUUGUCAUUUUUAUGAAUGUGUAUUAUACUCAUAAGCGAGAUAUGAAAUCUAACUAAAAGGUUAAAAAAAUAAUAAUAUACAUAAAAGCAAGACAUAUUAAUCUGUGACGGGCUGAUUAUAAAAAAGAAUCUUUCAUAUAGGUGGAUAAAUAUUAUUAACCUGUGAUAUAUGUUGGUUAUAAAAAUUAAAAUUAAAAUUUAUAAAUGGGGUUUAAAGUAGGAGGAAAAACAAGAAAUAACAAAAAAAUAAUAAAAAGAAAUAAUCAAAGAGAUAAUUAGGAAGAAAUUUGAUUUUUAUAAUAAAUCUCAUCAUUGACGAGAUAAUUAUUAAUAAUUAAUAAUUAAAUAUAAGGAAUUGGACUUAUUUUAAUAAAUUGGACUAAUAUCAAGUUUUCCUUGACUUUUAAUGAUAUUUGAUGUGGAAAUAAUUUUUUUAUGUAUUUAGCGAAUUUUUUUUUUGUACAUAUAAAAAAUUGGGGGUCAAAGAACUUUAGGGUCCCACUUUGAAAGCUCGUCUAAGGCCCUCAAAAUCUCAGGUCCAGCCCUGUGAAAACAAAUUAAGAAAGUUCAUAAAUUCUUCUACAUAUAGCUUCAUCUCAGGGCACAAAUCUUGCAAUGAGCUCUUGCUUGACUACUUAAUUACUUGUUCUGAGAAUUGCAGACAUAUCUAGUCAACCUUUUUAUUAACCUCCGACAUUCUGUUUGGAUAGAUACAUUCAAGAACAAUAUCUUCUUUGUCAAUGUGUCGAAAAAGCCCAACUUGGACCUUAUUGUACAUGAACUAUAUCAACUGAAGGGGUUUGAGCCGCCUGUUUUCCAAAACGAAUUCAUGGCAGUUAACUGGUUGCAACAAUUUUUGAAGAAAGCAAGACACAAUCCUCUGUUGUUUGUCCUGGAUGACGUUUGGUCAGGAUCAGAGUCCCUUCUUGAUAAGUUUGAUCAAUUCAAGUUUUCAAAUUACAAAAUUUUGGUCACAUCAAGAUUUGCAUUUCCGAGAUUUGGUUCUCCAUACCAUUUGGCAUUAUUGAAUGAUGAGGAUGCAAUGGCUCUUUUUCACCAUUCAGCAUCCUCAGAGGAUAAGAGCUCUUAUACUUCCGAAGAUCUUUCAAGAAAGGUGAUUUCUUAGUCUGCAAUACACAUAUAUGCUUAUUUAUGCCUCAGAGAGUCAGAAGAGGGCAAAGAAAUAACGUUGAGCGUCCACGCAUGUCAACACAUCCAUUUACCGUCUUAUAAUAAGAAUGAAAGAGUAGACAGUUAAACAAUUUUAUCAUCUUUAUUGAAACAUUUAGAUGAUUUACAACAAUUUAAUCAAAUAAUAACUGAAUUCAUUCGGGAUAAUUAAAUUGCAGAUUAUGAAGCGCUGUAAGGGAUGGCCACUUGCCAUUGCAUUGGUCGGGAGGUCACUUCGCGGCCAGCCUUUAGAAAUCUGGCAGAAAAGAGUACUGGAAUGGAGCAAAGGUUCAUCUAUUCUUGAUACUGACAAGGAUUUGCUUGCUUGCCUCCAGAGCAGCUUAGAUGCCUUGGAUAAAGAAAAGACUAUGAUCAUGGAAUGUUUCCUCGAUCUAGGUUCAUUUCCCGAGGACCAAAGAAUCGCUGCUGCCACCCUCAUUGACAUGUGGGCGGAGUUAUAUGGUCUAGAAGAAGAAAUUCUGACCAUUGCCAACCUUCAUGGGCUCACCACCCGAAGUUUGGCAAACCUUGUUGUCACAAGGUAUGCACCCUACUCAUAAUUUUCUAUUCCAUUAUGUAUACCAAACAAAUCAUAAAAGAAAUUAUUAUUGAUCAUCCAGGCGUGAGAGGGAGGCGGACGGCUAUUACACCGAAGACUUUGUCACCCAGCAUCACAUGCUUAGAGAGUUGGCGAUCCAUCAGGCGAUUCAAGACCCAAUAGAACAGAGGAAAAGGCUAGUUAUAAACAUAUGUGGGGACAACCUUCCUAAGUGGUUGACAGAACAAAAGUAUCAAGCGUCCAAGGCUCGACUAUUAUCUAUCUCAACAGGUUCCAUCAAUCUCUAUAGUAAAUACGUCAUUGUUAUCUAUAUAGUAAAUACUUAUACGUGCACACAAGUAUGUGUGCAUGGACACGCUUGUGUGCACACACACUCGCUCAUUCAUAUUAAGACCUCAAUAGGACUUCAGAACAUUUAAUUUCAACCCACACUAACAUCUUAAAGCUUAUGGUUUGCAGAUGGAGCCUUCUCAGCAAAAUGGCCAAACAUGCAAGUACCUGAAGCAGAGGUUCUAGUUUUGAAUUUUCAAACAAAGAACUAUGCCUUACCUCAGUUCGUGGAGAAAAUGGAUAAACUAAAGGUUCUAAUAAUCACAAAUUACGGUUUGUCACCUGCUGGACUAGAUAAUUUUGAACUACUUGGUUCAUUAUCAAAUCUUAAGAGAAUUAGAUUAGAACGUAUUUCAAUUCCCACCAUAAGCAAGGUCCUCAAACCGUUGAAAAGUUUGCAAAAGAUAUCAUUUUUCAUGUGUGAUAUCGGUCAAGGUUUCAACAACUGUUCCAUUUCAAUCACAUCAGCAUUCCCGAAUCUUGAAGAAAUGAACAUCGACUUUUGCAGUGAUUUAAUUGAAUUGCCUUCCAAGCUUUGUGAUCUUAGUAAACUAAAGAAGCUCAGUAUUACUAACUGUCAUAAGCUAUCUGCCUUGCCUGAAGGGAUUGGAAAGUUGGAAAAUUUAGAAAUGUUGAGGCUAAGAUCCUGCACAGAACUGUCGAAGCUUCCAAUUUCGAUGAAGAACCUUGGAAAGGUAAAAUUUCUUGAUAUAUCUGAUUGCUUUGGCAUCAAGGUGUUGCCCAAAGACAUUGGUGAAAUGAGUGGUUUAAGAAAGAUCAAUAUGAGACAAUGCUCAAAGUUGCAAGAGCUGCCUCCAUCAGUCAUGGAUCUUGAGCAGUUAGAGGAAGUGGUCUGUGAUGAACAGACAAAAUGUUUAUGGGAAUCUUUCUUGUCGUGUCUCAACAACGUAAGGAUAAUUGUGGCGAAAGAGAAUAUCAACCCAAAUUGGCUCCAAAAGACUCAGUUCUGACACGUGUUUCCUCAAUGAACGUUGCUCUUAAACCUCUGUGUGGUUUGCGUUUUUUAUGGGACAUUUUAAACUAUGAUGUUUAGAAACCUUGGAUACUGUCCAGAAAAAUGGUUUGGUAGGAAACAAAGGAAAUGUUGUGAUCCAAAAUCAAGAAGGAUUUCAUGAUUUGGGUCAGUUCCUGAACCUCCAAUGUUACAGUUGGAUUGGAUGAGCCUUUGAGGGAGUUGAAGAAGAUGGGAAAACCACAUUGGCAAUGAAGUUAUGUCAAGAUGAGGAAGUCAAAGGUAUGAUAAUACUUUCUAAUUGCUUUUUAUAUUCUGAAAUUCCAUAUCCCCACUGAGGAAAGUGCCUAACCAAACCAGAAGGGUUAUAGUAGAAUUAAUCUGCAAUUUUGACAUCUUUUUCUCUCAAUUAGAACUAGUAGUAUGUUAUAGAUGUCAUUCGUUGAGUUGAAGCCUUUUGUACACUUAACAGCUUCGGUUAUAUAUAACAUCAAAGCUAAUCCAUAAAUGGAAUAUUUCAAAUGCUCAAAAAUCUUCUGAGAAAGAUUUAUUUCUCUCUAUGCAAUCCAAAACAAAUAUACUUAUCAAGGCUUCACAACAAAGUGUGGAAAAGAAAUUGUUUUGAUCUUUUACAAUAUGUAUGCACAUACAGAAGCAAACACCCAUUUUACCAUAAGAUUUUUCUUUAGAACUAAAACUGAAAUAAGAAUGAAGACGAGUAGGUAGUCAUUAACCAUUUUCACAAAACCCUUGAGAUGUUAAAAGAAACUUGAAAUUUCGGUAUGCAACUCAGAUGGUAAACCUGCAGAUACUAAACCUUUGUAAGGGAGUUCCGCUUGCCAUUACAGUGACCGGGAAAUCACUUUGUGGACAAGCUGCAGAAUUCUAGCGAUUCAAGACUAGCAGACUGUUGUAAAGGUUCUAUUCUUGAUUCUAAGACUGAGUUGCUUCUUCGCCUUCAAAGUAGCAUAGAUUCCUUAGAUGGCAAAGAGGCUAUCAUCAGGGAAUGUUUCACAGACCUUGUUUCAUUUCCUGAAGAUCAAAGAAUCUCUGCUGCUGCUUUCAUUAAUACGUGGGCAGAGUUAUAUAAGCUAGAUGAGGACUUUCUGUUCAUUAAGAACCUCCACAAACUCGCCACCAGAGGUCUGGCACAUCUUGUGAUCACUAGGAAAGCAAGCACAUGUAUAUGUACACACGCAAGUGCACAGACACACACGCUAAGAUUUGCACAUAAGUUUCAUUUAAUUUCUGUCCUACUCAUAUCUGGUAGCAUAUCGUUUGCAGAUGGAAAGUUCUCAACGCAAUGGCGGAGUGUUCAUCUACCACAAGUUUUGAGGUUCUAGUUUUGAAUUUUAAGACAGAGAACAACGCCUUACCUGAAUUUGUGCAGAAAUUUGACAAACUGAAGUUUCUAAUGGUCACAAACUAUGGUUUAAAUCAGAUUAGAGUGCAUUUCAAUUCAUUCCAUAACCAAGAACUUCGUUGCAUUGAAGAGUAAAGAAGAUAUCUUUAUUCAUGUGUAACAUGGGUCAAGCUUUCCGCAAUUGUUCCAUCAAAAUUUCAGAUGCCUGGCCAGGUAUAGAGGAAAUGAAUAUAGACUAUUGCCAUGAUUAGGUGGAACUGCCUACCGAGCUCUAUGAUCUUGUUCAUAUGAAGAUGCACAAUAUCACCAACUGUCAUAAGCUAUCUGCCUUGCCUGAAGAGAUCGGAAAGCUGGAGAAUUUUGAAGUAUUGAGACUAAGGUCUUGUACAGACUUGGUAAGGCUUCCGGUCUCUAUUGAGAACCUCACUAAGUUGUGCUGUCUUGACAAGUAUAAUUUUUUCGGCAUUAAGAAAUUGACUGAAGGCAUUGGUAAUAUGAGCGGUUUAAGAAAGAUCAACAUGGGACAACGCUCAAGAUUGAAAGAAUUUCCUCUGUCAGUGUGGGAUCUUCACGAGCAGUUCGAGGAAGUGACUUUGUGAUGAAGAGAAGAAGCGUUUGUAAUCCUUCAUAGCCAGAGACAAAAUCAAGGUGGCAAAAGAAAAAACCAAUCUGAAUUGGCUCGAAAAGCCUUAGCUGUUAGACCUGUCUUUCCUCGAUAAAUGUUGGAGCAGCGUUUUUCUGAUUUGUGUUGCACUGUUUUCUUUAAUUUGUAUUUUCUUGUUGGAUUUUCUUGUUUGAUUUCGUUCUUAGUUCUGUCUAAUUUCUAAGUUUCAUCACAUCAAUUUGUAAUCAAAUUUUCUUGAGUCUUAAGAAAUUAUGCGUUCUGAUGUUAUGGUUUUACCCAAUAUAAAUAAGGGAGUUUUAACGAAAAGCCCAACGGUACUGUUCACUUUAACGAAAAACUACAUUUUUACACUAAAAAGUUAAACCUGCUACUAUUCACUUUACCCUUUAUUUUUUCCUUAUUAUUAAAACUCAAAGUUUUCAAGCCAUUUUCAUUAGUUUUCUUUAUAAACAAUGUGUAUUAUAUUUUCUUGGAUUAUACAAAAAAUGUUUUUUUUUACUGCACCUAAUAUGUAAAUUAUGCAUUUAGUUAUAUUGACAAGUUUUCCUUUGUUGCUUCCAUGGAUGAUUAUAUAUUGAGAUAUUCUAAGUUGAGGUAUAUCAUAUUUUAAUUUAAUGACGUUGUUAUUGUUGAUAUCGUUGGUAGAUCAUCUGCAACCUUAGGUCAAAACCUAAAAUUUUUAACCCAGAAAAUUUAGAUUUUAACCCAAAAACAGCUUUGCUACUCAAACCCUUAUGGGUUAAAUUUUUAGCCCGAGAUUAAGAAUGAAUUUUGGCUAAUUUUUUUAAAAUAACUUUUAGAAAAAAAAAUUAAGUAGACUAUCAUAAUUUAAUUUUAAGAACAUUUUAACCUAAAAAUAUUUAGAUGAAAAAAAAAAAACUAAAUCGACACCAUGAAACUCAUGAACACUAUGAAAGAAUAUGAAACACAUGAUAGAGAUGUAUAAAACACAUGAAACACAUAUAAAACACAUGAAACACAUAUAAAACACAUGAUAAAGAUGUAUGACACACGAAACACAUACAAAAUACAUAUGAAACACAUGAAACACAAACCUACCCACACCAUAUUCUUCAAUCAUUCUCUAUAUAAGCAUAGGUUGAAUACCUAACCAUCACAUAACAUAUUCACCAAUCAUCCAUCUUUCAUAGUGUUUAUGUUUUCUCAAAAUCAUCCAACUUUCAUAGUGUUUUUAUUUCCUCGAAUUAUCAAUGUGUUAUAGAAAAAAGCGUAGCCUGACAUUGCAAAUGGCAAGUAAACAUUGCAGUUAAGGAAGAAGAAAUCAACAAUGAAGAAAUCGAAUUUGCAAACUCACUUAUGCAAAAUAGGCAACAUGCCAAAUCUAGCUUUCAUGGUUCUGUCACAAUUCGUUCAUUUGUGCAGCGUGACAGGGAAAAGUGCCAUGACCGGAUGAUAAAAGACUAUUUCAUUGAAUGUCUGAGAUAUCAUUCUCAUGAUUUUUGGAGGUGGUAUCGGAUGAGGAGAGAGCUUUUUAAAAGUAUUUUGAAUGCAGUUGCCCACCAUGACGACUACUUUGCAAUGAAGAUAGAUGUCUUAGGCUGACAGGUCUCACUGCUAUUGGGUGUUUUGCAACAUUGACAAAUAUUGUCGAUUUGUAAAGAUCACUGCUAUUGAGAACCUCAAGCACUUCUGUAAGACAAUUGAAGUCAUAUAUGGACAAACAUACCUCUGAAAGCCAAAUCGUGAAGACUUGAAGAGGUUUCUACGUAAGGCAAACAAAAGAGACUUCUCUGGAAUGAUAGGAAGUCUCAAUUGUAUGCAUUGGGAGUGGAAGAAUUGUCAAAUUUCUUGAGCAUGCCAAUUUAAAGGUCUUCACAACAAAACAACCAUUGUGAUUGAGGUUGUGACAUCUUACGACACUUGGAUUUGACAUGCAUUCUUCGACACCUUUGGAUCAAACAAUGAUAUCAAUGUUAUUUGGUCUUCUCCCUGUUUGAAGAUGUUGUCUAUGGAUGGCAACCGGAAUGGAGGUACAAGGUAAAUGAUAAUAGAUAUGAGCUAGGUUGCUACUGAACUGAUAAUAUUUAUCUUAGUUGGUCUACCUUUUGAAAAGUUAUUCUCGUUCCGAUAGUGCAAAGAUGAAAUUGUUUUUGUGGAAAUAAGAGUCUUACAGGAAAUAUGAGAGAGCGUUCGGAUCCUACAAACUCGAUGGGUCAUUGUUGGAGGGGUUGCACGAUUCUGGAGUAUGAAAGACCUCAAUUCAAUCAUGAUGACAUGCAUAAUUUUGCAUAACAUGAUUGUUGAAGAUGAAUACGUAGAAAUUGAAGAAGAUUCUGAUGAAGAUGUGGAUGGCGACCAACCAAUAUAUGCUAAGGCUAUGGCAAGAGACGUUGAAUAUCUCGCUGCAACCACAUACAAGACCUAAGAGGAUGGGGUCACACUGAGUGAGUACAUGAGAUGUCUUGCUAGAAGGAGAUUUGUUGAGCAUAUAUGGCAUUGAGAAGGAGAACGGUGAUGAUAAAAUGUAACAAAUGAUAAUUAAUAAACUUUGUUGGUACCACACAUAUUGGGCCUCAUUACCCAGCCCAUAAUUAUGUAAAAGGAGGAGCCCUUUAUUUUAUAAAAGGGGACUCCUCAUCCCUCACAAAUCAGACUUUGGGAUACUUCCAAAACAUACAAGUCUCAAACAACUCAGAGACAACACUCUGUUCCUAGAGGGACUCCCCUUGAGCUUGUAAUCCAUACAUACAGUUACAGAGAAAUACAAGCAACAUCAGUGUGGACGUAGCCCAAACAUUGGGGUGAACCACAAUACAUCUUUGUGUUCUUGGGCGAUUGCAUGAUUCACGGUCGGAUUUACGUUGUUCAAAGACCUUCCGUUUUGUGCAUCAACAAACUACAUAUAAAUUAAUGCAACAAUUACUAAUCGCAAUAAUAUUGACCAUCUUGACUUGUUGGUGGAUUUGAUGGUGAACUUGGGAUAUAUGCUUGAUAUGAAUUAUCAUCUUGAAAGAUACUCUUUGUGCCAUUCUUUCGCAUAAUUUCCUUUUGUUUAUCAUAGGAGAACUUCUUAAUAUUUGGAGUUUAUUUGUUGAGGUUUUCCCUCAUCAUAUCAAAAUCGAAUCUUUCUUGCUCCAUUUCCGAUUGCUUCUCAAAGGCCAAUCACAUUUGCAUCACUUCCUCCUCUCGAGAGUCUUGGCGUCUAGACAAUUUUGCAAACCGGAAGAAAUCGUUGCACCAAUUGGAUAUUGCAUCUUCCCUUUUCUCUUUGCUUAUUUUUGCUUAUUUCUUCCCGGAGGCCUUGGAAAAGAAGAAGUUGGGAUCCUUCAUUACCAACAUUUGUGCUUGCGUCUUCACUAGCAAAUAAUUUUUCUCGUUGUUGAUCCGCAUGGGUUCCUUAUCUCGGACAAUCCUUGAGGAUGUCCCAAGCAUGAUUCACCACUUCUACGGUGCUCCUUCCACUAGCCAUGUCAACCACAACUCUCUCAAAGCUUCCCUUCCAUAAAGUGCAAUUUUUGUUGAUAACCUUCCACCAAUAGUAAACACUCCCAACUUCCCCUUGAUUGGUAUUGGAGUUUUCAUUGAGCUUAUCAACAAUUUUAUCCCACAAAUCCUUUUUAAUUUGAUUCGUGUUAACGGCAUCAUCUUCGCUAAUACAAACUCAUGUCAAGCACAAAGCAACUUCUUCCUCAUUUUACCAAUUACGACCUCCAAUAUGAUCUUUUGUCAUCUUGAAAAUUUUGGAAAUGAUUUCAGAUGAUUGUAGAAAGAAAAAUUGGAAGAAUUGUAGGAGAAAAGUAAAUUUUGUGUGGAUGUUUAAACAAAUACGUAAGUAUUUAUAAAGUUUUUGGAUAAAUUUUGACUCAAAGAAUUUUUUUUUAAUUAUUUUAGCUGUUAGAUUCAAAUUUGAACCAUUGCAGUUUUUUAUUGUUGAAUUUGAUCAUAUUAAAUCUCAACUAUUGAAAUCAAUAAAUUUAUAAAUAUAAAACUAAAAAAUAAAAUAAAAUUUGAACUUGGACGGUUGUAUCAACCAACAAUCCAAUGAAUCAUUGUUGUUGGAUGAAAGAAAGAGUCGUUGGACUCAGCUGGGCACGCGUUUCGUGCGUGCGGCACGUCUCGGUUUACGCGGUUGGCCAAUUUAGGACGCGUCCACGCGCAUAUGUGAGACCCUCCAAGGGUUGGAAUGAAAAUAAAGAGGGGAAAUACAGGCUAAAUUUUGAGAUUUACCCCCAAAGAUUAGAGGGAGUGCAAUUAAGCUCUCUAUGCUGUUGUCGCCUUUCGAAACUUGCCUACACAAUUUAAUAGGAUAAGAAGAAAUACUUUCUGAGAAAAAUACAAUUGUGGUCGCCACCAUCUACCUGCAACAUGGUUGUUGGAUUAUCUCUUUCGCUCUCGCCACGAAGCUUCCCAGACAUGGUGAUGCAGUUUCCUGGUUAAUUUCCAAGUCUCCCUCCACACUCAAUCAGCUAUUGCUAAAGUCAACGCGCUCCAACUCCGAAAUUUCUAUCGAGCUUCGAAGUAAGUACUUCUAUGCCAACUCCCAGAUAGUUUGUUUAUCCUACCUUGCUUGAUCACCAACAACGUAAGAGAAUAUCCAACUCUGCAUUGCUUGUUUUCUGAAUCGCUUUAUUUUGGGUUCCAAGUUUCUAAUCUGUUAUUGUUUUGGGAAAGUGGCUCAAAUGGUCCGAAAUCAAAUCUCAAAUAUCGAAGACAUACUGAAAAACUGAUCAUUUCAGCAGCCAAUUUCCCUGUUAUUUUCUGUUGUCGUAAAUUUUAGAUUGAAACUUUUGUAAGUUUUUCUGAUUUUGGUGUUGGUUUUUGUUGUUAAGAAUCAAGGAAUGGGUGGUCUCGGGCUAGCAUUCAGUGUGACUGUAUGAUGUCCUCAAGGAGCUGAUCACCAAGAAUGUAAUGUUUACGCCCCUCCUCAAACGAAUCCAAUCCAAGUUACACCUUUUGACCCCAGUGUUGAAAAAUAUAGAAGAAUCCAACAAGAAAUUGGAUCUUCCGGUUGAGGAGCUGGAAAAGUUAAAAGUACAUUUGGAGGAGGGCAUACAGCUCCUUCCGAAGUGCGAAAAGACUCCAUGGUGGAGCGGAGCCAAAAGGUACAAAUACCACAACAAGCUGAUUGAAUGGGAUGAAUAUCCUCAACAACAUUUGGAAAUACUAAAAGUUCAGGGAAUAAGGGAUGUGAAGGACAUUGCAGUUACGGUGAAGAUUAUAGAGGAGGCGGUCGGAAGAAUUGAAUUGAAUCAGGUGAUCCCAAAACAACUCGAUUGUGAAGCCUUCUGCACAACAAGGAAUACAUAAAUACAAUUAGUUGGAAAAUAAGAUUUUGACACUCACCACUUCUACGACGCUCCUACCACUAGCCAUGUCAAUCACAACUCUCCCCACGCAUCCCUUCUAUAAAGUCCAUGCUUUGUUGAUAACCUUCCAUAGAUUGUAAACACUACCAACUUCUUUUCGGUUGGUAUUGGAGUUUUCAUUGAACUUAUUAACGACCUUAACCCACAAAACCUUUUCAAUUUGAUUCGCGUCAACGACACUAUCUUCGCUAAUACAAAUCCAUGGCAAAGCACAAAGUAACUUCUUCCUCAUUUUACCAAUUACGACUUCUAAUAUGAACUUUUACCGUCUUGAAAAAUUUGGAAAUUGGAAGAAAUGAUUUAGAAGGAUGGUAAAAAGAAAAACAGGAAGAAUUGUAGGAGAAAAGUGAAUUUUGUGUAGAUGUUUAAAUAAAUACAUAGGUAUUUAUAGAAUUUUUAGAUGAAUUUUGAUUUAAAGAUUUUUUUUUAAAAUUAUUUUAAUCUUUGAAUUUAAAUUUGUACCGUUUAGUUUUUUUUAACUUUAGAUUUGAUUAUAUUAAAUCUCAGCCGUUGAAAUCAAUGAUUUAUAAAUAUAAAAUAAAAAAAUAAAAUAAAAUUUGAUCUUGAAUCGUUGGAUCAACCAUCAAUCCAAUGAAUCACUGGCGUUGGAUGAAAGAAUGAGUAAUUGGGGUCAGUUGGGUGGCUGACGGACCCUUGUCCGCAGGAUCCUCCCGACUUGCACGCGUUCCGUGCGCGCGUGCGCGCGUUCCAAUUCACGGCUUGUCCACGCGCAUAUCCGUGUGGUGGCCGACCGUAAGUGCAAUUAGCUGCAAGUAGGAGGAAUUGUUAAAUAUUAGUCAUAUAUUGCUCAUUGGCUCUCUAUGCUGUUGUCGCCUUUCGAAACUUGCCUUCACAAUUUAAUACGAUAAGAAGCAAUACUUUCUGAGAAAGAUACAAUUCUGGUCGCCAUCUGCCUGCAAUAUGGUUGUUGGAUUAUCUCUUUCGCUCUCGCCACGAAGUUUCCCAGGCAUGGUGAUGCAGUUUCCUGGUUAAUUUCCAAGUCUCCCUCCACACUCAAUCGGCUAUUGCUAAAGUCAACGCGCUCCAACUCCGAAAUUUCUAUCGAGCUUCGAAGUAAGUAUUUCUAUGCCAACUCCCAGAUAGUUUGUUUAUCCUAUCUUGCUUGAUCACCAACAACGUAAGAGAAUAUCCAACUCUGUAUUGCUUGUUUUCUGAAUCGCUUUAUUUUGGGUUCCAAGUUUCUAAUCUGUUGUUGUUUUGGGAAAGUGGCUCAAAUGGUCCGAAAUCAAAUCUCAAAUAUCGAAGACAUACUGAAAAACUGAUCAUUUCAUCAGCCGAUUUCCCUGUUAUUUUCUGUUGUCGUAAAUUUUAGGUUGAAACUUUUGUAAGUUUUUCUGAUUUUGGUGUAGGUUUUUGUUGUUAAGAAUCAAGGAAUGAGUGGAGCAGGCAGCCUUUUCGGAGGGGCUGGUCUCGGAACACUAGUCAAUGCGCUGUACGAUGUCCUCAAGGAGCUGAUCACCAAGAAUGUAAUGUUUAAGCCCCUACUCAAAAACAUCAAAUUCAGGUUAGACUCUUUGGAACCAUUGUUGAAAGAUAUAGAAAGAUCCAACAAGAAAUUGGACCUGUCGGAUAAGGAACUGAGAAACUUGAAACUACAUUUGGAGGAGGGCAUACAUCUCGUCCAAAAGUGCAAAAAGAUUCGAUGGUGGAGCGUAUUAGUAUACAAAAGGUACAAGUACGCCAACAAGCUGAUUGAAUGGGAUGCAUCUCUUCAACGACUUUUGGACAUGCUAAAAGUUCAGGGAAUAAGGGAUGUGAAGGACAACGCGGUUACGGUGAAGAAUGUAGAGGAGGCGGUCAUCAGAAUUGAAUCGAAUAUGGUGAUACCAAAACAACCCGACAGUGAAGCUUGGUGUGCCGUACCUCAACUUCCGCCGCUCGUGGUUGGAUUGGAUUUUCCUCUAAAGGAACUGAAGAGGAAGCUUCUAAAGGACAAAAAUGUGUCAAUGGUUGUGCUGACUGCUCCUGGAGGAUGUGGGAAAACCACUUUGGCUACAAAGUUUUGUCAAGACAAGGAUAUCAAAGGUAUCAUAUAUUAUAAGUUAGCACUCUGAAUUGUUUAUGUUUUUUUACUUUGUACAACUAUGGCAGAUUUAAAUGACGCCUCAAUGACUGAUUUAUUAUGUUUUCUCUGGAUAGAUGCAUUCAAGGAUAACAUCUUCUUUGUCACGGUUUCAAAAAAGCCUAAAUUAGAAAAUAUUGUUCAAGAUCUUUAUAUCAACGCAAGGGUUUCCAAGCACCUACUUUCCAAAACGAAGUUAGUACAGCGACGUGGCUGCAACGUUUUCUGAAGGAAGAAGGGCAGAAUCCUUUACUGAUUGUCCUGGAUGAUGUUUGGCCUGGAUCAGAAUCCCUUGUGGAGAAGUUUGAUCAAUUCAAAACGGAAAAUUACAAGUUUUUGGUGACAUCUAGGUCUGAAUUUCGGGGAUAUGGUUCCCCUUAUUAUUUGCAAUCAUUGGAUCAUGACAAUGCGAUGAAACUUUUUCAUCAUUCAGCAUCCCUUGGAGAUAAGAGCUCUCAUAUUCCAAAAGAUCUUCCAGAAAAGGUACAUUUUAGUUGCAACGCACGUGUAUGGUAAAAAAUUAGUUGAUUUGGUUUUGGAGAAUUAUCAAGAAAUUAUGUUCACCUUACGCAAAGCAUCCACAAUUGAGCGAAUGAACACAUCCAUUUACCAUAUAAACCUGUGAGUAGUCAUGCAUCUAAGCAUACUUACUUGUCGACUAAAACUAAAAUUAGAAUACUGUAUAUAGUUAUUUAGCCAUUUUCUCUCAUCUUAGUAACUUGAAUUUUGGCUCUGCAACUUAAAAGUUAGUUGAUUUUGUUUUGGAAAAUUAUCCUGCAGAUAGUUGAGCGUUGCAAGGGAUUUCCACUUGCUAUUACAGUGGUGGGGAGAUCGCUUAGUGGGGAGCCUAUAGAGAUAUGGCAAAAAAGAGAACUUGAAUUGUCUAAAGGUUUUUCUAUUCUUGAUUCAGAGACUGAAUUGCUGCUCUGCCUUGAACGAAGCUUGGAUGCCUUAGAUAAAGAAAUCAUCAAGGAAUGUUUCUUAGACUUAGGUUCAUUUCCAGAAGACCAAAGAAUCGCUGCAGCUGCCCUUGUUGAUAUCUGGGCAGAGUUAUAUGAUGUAGAUACAGAUAUAGAGUGCAUUGCAAACAUCUACGAGCUCACCAAACGAAGUCUAGCUAAUCUUGUUGUCACAAGGUGUGCAUGUUUUAUUUUCUCUUGUAUGAUAUUUUCGCUCGAUUUUCCCCUUUAUUCAUGACCGAUUGAUCGAAGCUCUUCUAAGAAAAUUAGUUUUGAUCAUCACCAGGAAGGACAAGAUGGAGGGGGACGGGUAUUAUAGUGAGCACUUUGUUACCCAGCAUGAUGUUCUUAGGGAACUGGCCAUCUAUGACACAAAAAAAGGACCGGUAGAACAUAGAAAAAGACUGAUUAUUGACAUAUGUGGAGACAAACUUCCAAAAUGGUGGAGAGAACAGAAGCAGAUGAAGGCCCGCUUAUUAUCUAUAACAACUGGUUGUUCUAUCUCUCCCUUUCGCUUUAGCAAUUACGUAGACAUGCACAAAUAAAUAUUCAUUCCACACGCACGUGUGUGUGCACAUUAAGUCUUAAUAAUACUUUCAUUUAGUUUCUCCUCCCCACACUCACAGUUGUUACUUUGCAGA